UUAAGAUUUAGUAAAGACAAAAAAGGCAGUUGAGUAAACACAACACAAAACUGUUGAGUGAAUCGCACAAUCUAAAGCUAUUCCAUCAAAAUGAAAACACUCUACAUAAGGAUUGUCCCAGAUGGGUCUCCGUAGGCUAAUUCUGUGCAUGCCCAGAAGCUGACUCCAUGUCUGUUAACAUCUGUUGUUGCUGUUUUCUGGAUUGUUUCUGUGUGCACAGAGAGUGAGUUCAGCACGCGUAAGCAUCACAACCAGAUUACAAUGCUUUCUGAAUCUUUCUUCUCUAUGUCUUUGAUGUAACAAUCUCAGCAUCAGAUCUGUGUCUGUUUCACCAAUGGUGAUGCUGAGAUGGGGACAGGACGAGCUCUAUCUUGUGUGGAAUUGUGGUCUUGUAAAAUCAAUCAGAAAAUAACCUUUUUUCCCUCUUGAUUCAUGCCAUUCCACCAUGCAAUAAAACACAAAUAAACACUGCCUGUAAACAAAAAUAGUCAAUAAGUUGCAUGCUAAAAGUAUUAGCCUAAACACUUUGCUGUAACAGUGAUGUGUCUUGCUGCAAGAUAUAAUAUUAAUAUGAAAACCCCUCUAAGAAAUUUACCUUCUUUUCUCUUUUGAAGAAUGAUGCUGUUAAAACAACUAAAAUGACAAAUUUAUGUUUGUCAUUUAAGUUAGCUGGACACUGACCUACUAAGUAUGAGUUGGCCAGAUAAUUUUAGAAUCACUUAAUGUUGUCUUUUUGCUUGCAUUUAAGUUAAUCAUUGUCAUUUUUAUAUUAUUACUUGAUUAAUUCUAAUAAAAUUGAGUUUGGUGGAAAUUGUUGAGAUCAAUAAUUUUUUUGAGUGUGUUGUUAUAGCAGGUAAAUAUUAAUAUUGGUACAAUACAAAAGCUAAUGGGAUAGACCCCUUAUGCUUUAAGUUCUUAGAUUACAUUGACGUCUGGAGCUUGUUGCUUUCUUUGGAGUCAUAUGAUUCAGUGCUCUAUUGUUGCAUUUUUCAGUGAGUUCUUUGUGUCCGAAUUGCAAUAUUGUUAAAGGAAGCCUAAGCACAACAACUGCAGGACAGUCUUUGUGUCAUUACUGUUGCACAUACUUAAUAGCCACAUAUUUCAUUAUAGGGGGCUGGCCAAGAUGCUCUUUCAUGUUUUCAGUUAGCUUGUCAGAGCAGCGAAAAUGUUGACUUUUGGGCAAAUGAUCAUCUUUGUCAACUUGGACAGAAAAAUACAAAAGUUUUAACAACUUGUGAGUCAGUACAUGAAUAAAAAAAAGUCUGUUGGUGUGGGGUUGUGUUGUAUGUUAAAGUUAUUCUUAUUCUUAUGUAGGCCAAGAGGCUUUGAUUAUAGAUGCUUACUACCAGUUGUUGUCAAACAUGCCUUGAAGCUGAAUGAAGUAACUAUUUACCCACAACUGCUAAAAUGAUUGUGUUCUGGUCUUGAAUUGAGCCAACAUUGUAGAUGAUGGCUGGGUUGUGCAGAUAGCUUGAGUGGCCUUAUUGUUAAGAGUAGCCUUGGUGUAUAGUUAUUGUAAUCAUGUACAUUGUUGACUGAAUCCUUUUAAGACUUCAUCAUAACUCGAGCACACUGGAUAGAUGGUAUCCACAGCUGCCACAGAGUAUUCACUGCGUACAGCUUUUGGUUUGGGGGGUAAAAAGUCAAACUUUCUGCAAGUUUUAUCACUAUUUUAAGUACAUUUUAAACAAAAGUAAGUGAUCAAGUAUCAUCAGAGUUAAUGUUAAUAGAGUUAAACUGAAUAACCGUGCCCCUCUUUGAGUGUCAACCUGGUAGACUCAUCUUUUUAUACCCUCAUGGGUCACAGGCCAAUGGUAUUGAGACAUUUCUUUUCUCACAACGAUGAAUAUACUAUUACCCCAACUAAUGAAAACAGACUGUGUUAUCAUGCGUCUCAUCUUUUAUUGCAUCCAUGCGUGAACAGUAUUCGCAGCACAUAUCGUUGCUCCGUUUAGGCUAUCAAGUAAUCCUGCAGGGGUUCACUCUUUUGCAGACUUCCUCCCAUUGUUGACCCGAGCCAAUUUAGUUUUGGUUUUUGUAAAGUUCAAGUACAGUACUGAAUCAAAUAUGUAAAAAGUGAUCAUAAACUAAAGAUUGUGAGUCUAAAAAUUUUUUUUAAAAAUCUUUAAAACAAGCGGAAUGGUUGCCAUGGACACACAGACAUAGACACAGCCCAACAUGGUUAGCAGCCACAUGGUGAAACACAGGGGGUACAUUAGAGCCAGGUUGGUCUUAAACUGUGUGAGUGAUGUAAUAUGAGGGGUAAUUAAAAUGCUAAACUACGUAAUCAAAGCUUUAUUUCAACUAAUCUGAAGUUAGUGAGGUCUUUUUUUUCUAUUAUGGCCCAAUUAAACUGGGAGAAUUAGCCUAUCAGCAGUACAAAGACUGAGGAAGCCGGCAGCCCCAAGCCAAUACAGGAGUUCACACACACACACACACACACACACACACACACACACACACACACACACACACACACACACACACACACGCACACACACACACGCACACACACACACUUAAAGGGGAUAAAAAGAGAUAACUUAAAAGUUUUGCUGCUUCAUUUUCCUGGCGCAUACAAUAGACAUGCAAAUCAGGUGAAUUAAAGGCUCUAAAUAUGCUGUAGACAUGUGACAAAUCUCCUCAUUUAUCUCAUUAAAUGAACUGUGAUCGCAGCUAUAUAUUGCUUUGAUAAAUUAAGCUACUUUAGUCACAUUUAAAACAUGUGAACUAUGUUGUGGCAGUUGCAAAAUUUCCAAAAUCACAGCCCAUAUUGUAUCAUCCACUUUGGGGACUGUGAGUGCUAUGUUGUAUUCUCCUUUAAUGCUCUUUAAUAUGUAAAACAGCUAUCUGUAUUGCAAGAGCAUUGCAAGCUGUUUGUGUAGCAGAAAAGUGAUGCAGUCAUGGUUUUGUGUGGCUGAGUAGUUCUAGCUAGCCUCAAAGCAGUCUAAAGAAUGCUAAGUAUUGAGCACAUCCUGCCAGGGGUGCAAAGCUGAAGGCAACUGACUGCUUGAUGAGAUUUCAUGGCGCUGUAGAGACUGGUUAAAGAGUGCAAAGCAAUGGACCAUAGCACAGUUGUACUGGAGAGAGUCAAACAAGCAGAAAGAGCCUUUCAGACAAACAAUUAUUCAUUAACAUUUUACAAAUGAUCUCAUACACUUUAGACGGGCUUAAUGGGAUUGUGUGACUGUCUGUUCGUCUGAGAAAUGGAGUCACAUGUGGUUUUCUAAGUCAGUAGUCAGGUUUGAAUGAAUUCAUAAAGAGAGAGGCAACUUCACGGUGUAUUUCCAGGACUGAGCAUUGCUGCUGUUGGCGUACUGGGACAUGGUAGAUCAAAUUCUGACCACACAUGCAGGUUGGAUAGUUUCUGUGUUUGGUUUUACAUAUUUUCUCCAAAGGUCUCAAUGAGCAUGAUUUUUAAAAUUAAAAUAACAAACCCAUUCAUGCUAGGGCUGGGCGAGAAAACGAUGACGAUAUAGUUCGAAAAAUAAUUUUCCCUCAAUAUCAAAAUAAGCUACACACAACCAUAGCACUUUUACACAUGAAGUGGACAGCACUGACGGUGCACUGUGGACAGCACUGACGACAUCGUUGACAACACUGUCAUCAAAAUUGCGGUGGUGUGGAGGUAUUUUCGUUUUUUGAGGUCGGACAUGAAGAAGAGUAAUGUGCACAGCAAAUUAUGUCGAAUACAUGUUCUCGCAAAGUCGGGGAAUACCUCAAAUCUUUUUCACCACCUGAAGCAGUGCCGCGCGGCAGAGCACGCACAAUGCAAAACCAUUUAGUCUGCUUUCUCUGGCGCAACGCCUUACGACAAAACGUCCAAGAGACACAAAAACCUCACAGAUGCAGUAGCUUAUUGUAUUGCAGAAGACAAGCUACCAAUAAGCACUGUUCAUUUUUAUUUUUUUAUAUUGUGAUAUACACUCACCGGCCACUUUAUUAGGUACACCUGUCCAACUGCUCGUUAACACUUAAUUUCUAAUCAGCCAAUCACAUGGCGGCAACUUAGUGCAUUUAGGCAUGUAGACAUGGUCAAGACAAUCUCCUGCAGUUCAAACCGAGCAUCAGUAUGGGGAAGAAAGGUGAUUUGAGUGACUUUGAACGUGGCAUGGUUGUUGGUGCCAGAAGGGCUGGUCUGAGUAUUUCAGAAACUGCUGUUCUACUGUGAUUUUCACGCACAACCAUCUCUAGGGUUUACAGAGAAUGGUCCGAAAAAGAAAAAAUAUCCAGUGAUCGGCAGUUCUGUGGGCGGAAAUGCCUUGUUGAUGCCAGAGGUCAGAGGAGAAUGGCCAGACUGGUUCGAGCUGAUAGAAAGGCAACAGUGACUCAAAUAACCACCCGUUACAACCAAGGUAGGCAGAAGAGCAUCUCUGAACGCACAGUACGUCGAACUUUGAGGCAGAUGGGCUACAGCAGCAGAAGACCACACCGGGUGCCACUCCUUUCAGCUAAGAACAGGAAACUGAGGCUACAAUUUGCACAAGCUCAUCGAAAUUGGACAAUAGAAGAUUGGAAAAACGUUGCCUGGUCUGAUGAGUCUCGAUUUCUGCUGCGACAUUCGGAUGGUAGGGUCAGAAUUUGGCGUCAACAACAUGAAAGCAUGGAUCCAUCCUGCCUUGUAUCAACGGUUCAGGCUGGUGGUGGUGGUGUCAUGGUGUGGGGAAUAUUUUCUUGGCACUCUUUGGGCCCCUUGGUACCAAUUGAGCAUUGUUGCAACGCCACAGCCUACCUGAGUAUUGUUGCUGACCAUGUCCAUCCCUUUAUGACCACAAUGUACCUAACUUCUGAUGGCUACUUUCAGCAGGAUAAUGCGCCAUGUCAUAAAGCUGGAAUCAUCUCAGACUGGUUUCUUGAACAUGACAAUGAGUUCACUGUACUCAAAUGGCCUCCACAGUCACCAGAUCUCAAUCCAAUAGAGCAUCUUUGGGAUGUGGUGGAACGGGAGAUUCGCAUCAUGGAUGUGCAGCCGACAAAUCUGCGGCAAGUGUGUGAUGCCAUCAUGUCAAUAUGGACCAAGCUCUCUGAGGAAUGCUUCCAGCACCUUGUUGAAUCUAUGCCACGAAGAAUUGAGGCAGUUCUGAAGGCAAAAAGGGGUCCAACCUGUUACUAGCAUGGUGUACCUAAUAAAGUGGCCGGUGAGUGUAUAUCAAUAUCGACUGAUACGAAAAAAAUAUAUUGUGAUAAACUUUUCCUAAUAUCGCCCAGCCCUAUCCCAUGCCAACAUUUAUGCCCUACUGAAAGAUUUUAUGACCUACCACAUGGCCCUCAAGGUCCCCUACUUCCCAGACAUGAAGAUAGAAGAGGGGAUAGUUGGGUGUCACUGGGGUUAUUAAGUGGACACCUCCCUUAAGUGGUGCUUUGUCAAGGUAGGCCCACGACAGCUCAAGGAGGCUCAACAAUUAGCCGCAGCGCCCUAAAGCUGUCCCCGUCAAUGCCAGCUCUUACCCGCAUCAUACCAACAUGCAAAAUAGGAAAGAAAAGAGACAGGCAGGAAGAGGAGAGUCUGGUGAGAAGGUUGUUCUGCCUUCCUCAUUCCCUCAGUUUUAUGAUGGAAGGAAGGAGAGGGAAACAGAGGAAAGAGGAGUUACAAGGAAGAGCCAGGGUUAGAUGUCUGUUCCGCCUGGAGUUCACCAUUUCCCAGCUGGAGAAAUCAUGGAAAAUCAAGAUAAAAACCGCAUUAUCAAAGUAAGCUGCCAUGCUCGGUAAUAACAUUUACUGUGGUAAGGUCUUGAUCUCAUUUAUAUAUGCUCUAAAUGUAUUGGUUAUUAGAGUUAAAUAUAUAACAGCAUUGUCUGUGUAAAUGUGAAGUUGCUAGGCCAGGGACAAGAUGGUGUUGGAUGUGCAGUCUUCUACUUUCUCUCCUUCUUCAUCCACUUUCUGUCCGUGCCAUUAACUUUGAAUCAUCAGGCCCCAUUUGAGACACCAAUAUAGAGUUUUUUCUUGUGCUGCAUCAUGCCAUAAGUUUCUCUGGAUCGCUGCUGCAGACGUUUUACUGCUGUGCACCCCCCUGCUUUCCAGCUGCUUCAACUACAUGCAUCAAUAUCACCUCGGUCCCUCUCUCUCUUUCUGCAUCUCACUCUAUCCCCUCUUUAACUCAAAUGUAGGUUUGAUGAUAUGCAGAAAACAACAGGUUAUGUAGUAGCAAAGAGGUUGAUUGCAUUGGACAAGGAGGCCCAGAGCUCAUUGGUCUUAUGUGAAGUGGGUUUGACUUAGAUGACUGGGAAUCGAUCACUCUCUGUUGGACAGAUACCUCUUUGCAACAUACUUGAAUGUUCCCUUGUAAGAUUGCCUUGCAUGUCACGACACAACCUAAGACAAUGAGACUGCAAUGAAAAUUUCUAAACAUAUUUUUCACUCCAAAGAAGACAAACUCAAAUCUUCAAGUGCCUUAUUUAGUAGAUCAUAGAUUGAACAAACAAAGGACUGGAGGGCAGUAUUAGAGAGAUACAAGCACUGAGGAUCUUGAGAGUCACCCAGGUUAAGUUCCAAACUAUGAGGAUAGAAAGUAAGAGGAUUAAAUCAUAGAUAAAAUAAUUUGAAAACAACAAAGUCUUCGAUGCAGGAAAUGGAUUGAUUGUUUACCCUGCUGGACUACAUUGAAAAUCAGUGCUGGAAGGCAAACUGAAAUUGAUGGGAAAGAGAAAACAGUAGAAUUUAAAAGAAGGGAUAACUGGACUCAGAGGCCUCCACAAAUGACCUUAAGCAACAGGGGAUGAGGGGAUAUAAAUAUGGAUUUCAGUAUGGUCAGAGGAUUGGCCAGAGCAAGGACAGAAGAGAGCCAAAUUGUUAAAAACUUUUGCGCUAUAAGACAGACUGUCUUUUACUGAAAACUAAAGGGACACAAAUAUCCCAAUAAAGCAGAAGCAGAUAUAAUGUUUGCCCAAGUUGAAGGCUGCUUGUAAAGGCAGGGAUGAGUCUGGACAGAGUCUGAAGUUCAGGCUGGUUACCAUGCCCAGCACGCCAACUAAAGUUGUCUGCUCAGAGCUCCUUAUGGCUUAAUAUUGUUUUGUUGGAAAGAAAGCUCAGUUUUUUAGAAAUCUUUAACUUCAUUGCUGCUAUGAUUUUUCUGUGAGUGCAAAACCCAAAAUAUAUCUGUGAUAUGAAGUUUGCAAAGGGAGAGUUUGGAGUUUGUUAGCAGACCAUUGUCUGCCAAAAAUCAGUUCUCAUCACAAUCUCUAAAAAUACUUCAGAUGUGAUUUAACAAAAUAAAACCCAACAAAGACAUGAUAAUAAACAUAGAAAUGAUCAAUCUUGUAAAGGAGCUACAUUCAAGUUUGUUCUGCUCAUGUUUGAUGAAUGAGAUCCGUUCAUCAAGAUUUUACACCAUCUCCUGAUGCCACUGAUCCAGGCUUUUUGGUGCCAAGUUCAAAUAUUAUCGUACUUUCUGGCAGUACUCUCUCUGUAAGUUUUUUUUUUUGGCAGUUUAAAAUGUCUUACGGCCAUCUAUGAGGGGAGCUGCUUCCCUCCUUUUUAAUUUCAGUUUUUUAAGUUGUUACAGAAGCCAAUCCAGUUAUGAAUGCAACGCCUUCAGUUUUUCCCUACUGCACAAAAAUAAGUGGUAAUGAGCGAGAGAAACGACAUGUUUUGCUUUGUUUUUUAUUGUAAUGAUUCAGAUUAGGUGUUAAAUAACACAUUAGUAUUGAACACUUCCUUGGUUAACUUUGUCGUUUUGCUAAUUCCUCUGAAUUUGUCCUGUCUAUAAAUGAAUCGGAGUCUUAAAAGCACCCAGGUGUUAAUUAAGAUUAUUAACUGCCUUGGUCUGAUAAGACUCAUGGCAUUGUGUCCAAUCAGUGAAAGCCUCUCGGUAUCACAGAAAACUGGUGGAUUUGUCCUGUUUUCUGUUUGUAUUAUUGAGUGACUUUGCAUGUUGCACUAAAAACUUCCCAUCAUUUCCACUGAAUCCUCAAAAGCUUUAAACUCAAAGAAGGGAAAUAACAAAUUAGUUCUUAUUUCUUUUUUCCCUGUUUUGAUAAACGUCAUCAAAUACAAUGUACUUGUUUUUGCUCCGCCAACGGAUGUAUUUACUCAAAUUAAACCAAAUCCCCCUGCCCUCUGUCCUCCUCUCAAACAGGUAGAGAUAGUUCAGGCUGGGAAAUCCUUCGUUAAGUGGGCACUUUUCCUUUUUAUGCCCCGAACCGGUUGAGUUAGUCAUGAGCUGGCACAUUAAUGUUAUGUCAGCUUUACAUUGUAGAAUAGUAACACUUGUGGGUGUCCCAGGCAGCUCUCAUCCAGCUUUCCAGAGGCACAAUGUCACAUCAGCCCACACAGCACUCCACACAGCUUUGGCACAUCUGAUUAAAUUACAGAGACAGUUAACUUUCAUCAACUGUAAAUUUGGCACACUCCAUUUCCAAUAUAUAGAUAUUUUCUGUUACAUUCUCUUAACCACAAGCGUCACAGUCUGCAGCAUUUUAUCCUCACUCAAAUUGCAUGUUUUACAACAAUAUCUGCUGCCCAGAAGUUUGACCAGCUGUAUCACCACCUCAGCUUCAGUCUGUGCUAUGUGAAACUCACAAAAUUUAACUUUAUCUAACAGAGCCGACAAAACUACUUUGCAAAAAUGGUGGACACUUCCAAAGGUUCAUCUUUUAAUAUCAUUUAAGAAGGCCCUAGAUGGGAUUUCUUUUUUUUUUUAACUUAGUUUUUAUUAUUUCUCUCUCUCUUUUUUUUAAUUUUACAGUAGAGUACAGUAUAUACAUUUCAAAACAAUUAUGUUUCCUUUCCUCUUCCUCAGCUGUAAGUGUAUUUUUACAAACAUCCAUAGGCAAUAGAAGGUGGAAAUAAAAAACAAAAACAAUCGUUAUAUCAAGUGAAUAGGUAAUGUCCACUUUAGAGUACAGAAUUACUGGUACAAAUGUCAAUCAGAGGCAGGAUGACAGCAUUUUGAUAUACAACAGAAGGGUUUUACAUAAUUAAUAUUGUCAUUGCAGCAACAAAGGUAGUACAGGUUCCCAUCUUUUAGUGAAGGUGGCUUUCUGGAGCCUUAGGGCAAAUGUGAUCUGCUCCAUUUGAUAAAUAUCCCACACGAUUUGAAUCCAUGUAUUGUAUGAUGGAGGUUCUGUUUUCAACCAUCUGAUGGUUAUAGACUUCAAGACCCUAGAUGGGAUUUUAUAGACAAUUUGAAAGCCUUCAGAGACUCUCCUGCAACUGAAGUGACCUCAAAGCAGACAACCCUUCAAUAUCUUCUGGAUAUACUUCACAAAAUCUGGUAAUGUCCUCGUAACACUUUAUCGAAAAAGAUAAUGUUAAAAAAGGGGGACUAACGGGGAGUAUAAGUUUUAAUUUAUGCAUUAAGUAUUAGACUGUGACAUUAACUUAGUUAAACGUGUGCUUUAUUAUGUCUGCUACAUAAUAAAGCACCGGUGCAAAACCAGUCAAAGCACUGUUGGCAAAAAAAAAUCAUGCGGAUAAAACCAGCCUGCUAAAACACUCAAUCAGCUGCCAUUAUUGAGACACUGCACCCACAGCUACCUGAGGCACAAAAAUGUAUUUGAGACAAAACAACCAAGAUAGACGAGCCCCAAUUUAUCCAGGAACCUUUUAAAAGGUCUUGACAAAAAGUGUCGAGACGGCAGGGGAUAUAUUUGACAAUAUUUGUCAGAUUUAUUGAAUUAAGUGAAGCAAGUACAAGUAUGUCUAGUUUGAACUAAAUAUUUUAAUAGUAUGGGGUGAAAGUCUGGAUUUAUGAAGCAUGUGGAGCGAGCACUGACAGAUCAAUGUUGAAGUGGUGCAGACUGCAGAGCACUUCCUUUUGAGAAAUCAUCAGAAGAUGAUCAACUUCCUUCUUGAUUUGACGGUGCUGCUAAAGGUUGUUAAAAGUUGCAGAUUGUGUUUGCAAGAAAGAUUUUUCAAAAUCUUUUUUUUUUUUUUUCUUUGGCCUACUUCAGCUUUUUUUUUUACUCUGUACCGAAAGCUGAACAGCUGUCUUCUGUGGGGACACAUUCUCACUACAACAAACCAAUAUUGUUUAUAUCAGUAAGUCGAGCUCUCACAGUCUCAUACAAAAGUUCCUUUCAGUAUUGUUCUCCAUGAGAUAUAUUGUGCACCAAUUUAUCAGGGUGUUUGAUUAAUUUACUCAAACCUGACACUGGAAACUCUGAACAAUUUUCCCAAAUUUUCUUGAUAUUAACUUGAUAACAAGAUGACAGUUGGACAGAACAAUGAAACAGCCUGCAGAUAGGGUUAGGUCCUUGCAGGACACAUUAUCUUGACAACGGCGGGGUUACUAGUUUUCUUUGACAAAUCAAAUCAAAGAAGAUCAGACUACAUUAUCUUCUUAUCUGUUUGGAUGGUCACUGUGUGUUAUUAGGGGAUCACGAUUCACUUUGUGCGUUGUCUUUCACAAUGUGCCUGCAUCCAGAUAGACUUUAAGCCUUUUUGGCUCUUACAGAUUUUGUUUCCUUUUGCUCCCGAAUGUACGUCACUUUCGAUAAAAGCAUCUUCAAAAUGACAUUAUAAUAUUGUCACAUAGAGUUAGAGGAUUUGGACUAAUUUUGUUGCACCUGUUGCAAAUGAGUGUGAAAAUGAACACUGUGUCUCAGCCAGAUCCACACCCCUCCUUGUCUGAACUGGGGAGAGGAAGAAAAGAAAGAGAAAAGAGGUUUUCUUUUAAUUUUGUUUUGGCCCCCAACUGACAUUUCUUCUCGCCCACCCACUGACUUGUUUUUUUCUUUUUCCUUCUUCCUCUGAUGUCCUCUUUAUCCUCUUUUGCAGACUGUCUACACACUCCUGAUUCCCCCAGUAAUGAGAUAAUGAACUUAGGUAGUGCUCGACAGUUGGAUCAUACAGUAUGAGCACACACUGUAAGUCGUGAGCUUUGGCUGUGCAUCAAACAAGUUGAGUUCACUCUCCUCCACAACAUUUUGAGAUUGGACAGUGUAUACCUGUCCUGAUGGAUAUCUAAGUAAAGAGUUAAGACUGCAUUUUCAUGAUAAUUUACCUCCCCUCUCCAUAAAAAGUCUAAUUUUUAAAGAUCAGACGUAUCAACAGGUAAUUUUCAUCAAAUGCAAAUGGCCAAGCAUCUUACUAAGCUAAAUGCAAUUUCAGGUGACUGAAAGAAAUGUUUGUGCUUCAUUACAGGAUAGCAAAUUUUAUGAGUAAAUCACUCAGGCUUUUCCUACCAUUAAUCUGCUCGGCUGAUGUUUGAAGGGGUUGAUUGGUCCCACAGCUGUACGUGAUAUGCUAUCUGCUUCAUGAAAAACAGAACUCGAAAAUCGUCUUGCAACCUGAACCAUGUCAGCUAAUUGACACUAAAACAAAGCUGGAAGAGCUGCAGUCUGCUGCACUGAUUGAUGGGAGAACAUGAAACGUAGCCUGCCUUUUCACAUUGUGUGACUAUUCAAUCAAACACAGGCCAGUGUGGCUGGCUGGCAUCAAUAUGCAUGAAGUUAGCCUGUCGCCACUUUUUCCCGCCUCUGUGCGAAACGACACAGUCUGUCUGCCUUCUUUACUCGUCAAUGUGCUAUCCAUCUGUCCACCAGCAAACAUUUCAACAGAGUCGUCUGCUGCAACUCAUUUUCAUCAGUCCAUCAAAGUAAACUCUGAGAAUAGUUUCCAUUUUAGAUUUCUCUGUACUGUCUGAGGUCUUUGUUUACAUCAUAACAUAUUGGGGGAUGUUUUGUUUACUCCAAUGAUGCGGUGAUAAAUCAUGCAGUUUGACUAAAAAAAUAAGGGUUAUUCUUCCUCUUCCUCUGAUGCUAUUUAAAGUAUAAACAAAUGACAUUUCUGACCACAUCAUCACUGAAGAAAGAUCAUCAUGUUGCUCUUUCCAACUGGGUUUUGAACAGAUUUUUUCUAUUGAUAAGAGUCAACACUCAAAGGAUAGGAAAUAGGUCAAGAUGACUUCAAGGAAAGCAUGCAAUUUGGGGGAGAAAGAUUCUUGGAUUGGCAAAAGUCUGCAGUAUCAAUUCUUUGUUGAUUGGAUCUGAAUGCGGCAGAAUUCGAAAUAUAUCUGUGGCCUCUGUGAUUGUGCCUCUAAUCAAAAUCAUUUGGACAUGUAUGAAGUAUUUUCUCAGGGACUUCAGAUCAUUUUAUGUUACCCGUGCACCUGUGUGCAAUUAUUGAGUGUGAGAUUCAUGCUGUUUGAUCAGAUGGACUAAUCCAAAGUUAGUCAUCUGUAUUCAUCUAAUGAGGUUGCUGUGAACGGAGCAUGGCAAAUUCUCCUGAUCAAACAGCUAGGCAUGUUGUGAGUCAAUGCCUCUGCCUUCCACUGACUGAGAUCUUGUUUGAUGUAGCCACACCAAUGUGUCGGGUUUAGUGAAAGGUCACGCUAAGGAAAGGUCAGUGCUUGACCACUUUGUGGAGGGUAAGGGGAAGGCUUUUCGGUAUCAAAGGUUUGGACGAUGAUGUUUUAACACGUUUGUAAAUUUGCAUUUUCUCAACCCAUCAAUCCACCUUGACCUCCCUGCUUCAUGAACUUUGUUGUUCUUUGACCGAGUUAUCCGACUUUCUCUUUGCUUCCACCAUGAUUACAUCCUCUUCAAAGCUCCUUCAGUCCAAUAAAGCUAGCUAUAGCUUGACUGGGGUCCAAAAGUUUUCCUCCUGGUCUUCCAUCGAACCACUGCCCUCAAUUAUGAGACUGCAAGUACAGUAACUCUACAAACCAACAAAACGUGGUAUUUCUGUCUUACACUUAGAACUGAUAUGAAACAUUUCCCCAAAUCCUAAUAAAUGGUAAUAGUAAGCUUUCAAUGCCUCUUAGUUUGGAUAUGGGUGUACCCCUGGGAUCAUUUCUGGGGCUCUGAUUUUAGUUUUUCCAUUAACUUACCUGCACUGGUUUGAGUGAUAUUCCUAUAUAUGCUGACCUUGCUCAGUGGCAAUAUACUAGUAUACUGUAAAAUACAAACAGAGGGUCUAACUAUUUGACAAUAUUUGACCAAAAGAUGGUACUAAACCAGGGUGACCAUAUUCUGAAUCCCCAAAAAGAGGACAGUACAACAUGGGCCAGAGUCACGCGCAAAUUUUGAGGGUUUUUCAGGUCAGGCCGGGUGAUUUUUUUUACGCGCUUCUAACUCAGUUAAUCCAUGAUACACAAACUCAAAACUUCCAUACAAAACCCCGGACACUUGAGGGAUUUAUUAAACACCUCCAGAGAGGCCCGUUAAUGCUGGACAGCCCCACCAAAAAGAGGACAUAUCUAAGUUAAAGAGGACGUAUGAUCACCCUAACUAAACCAGCUACAGACACGGGACCUCAUGACUCCCAGUAUCACCCACUGGGCAUGACAUGAUACCGUUGGAAAUUUGCUAUUAUAGCUGGCAAGAUUACAUACUCUACAUCAGUACCAAAAAGAGUUACACAGCUCAAGGGAAUGAAGAUGUUAUACUUUCCUGACUGCAAACGGAACUGUCACACAAGAAGACCUUUUAAACCUCUGCCCAAAAAAACAGACCAUACCUUUUAUAACCUGGUAAUUUCUAUUCUUUAUGUAUAAUGCUCACAUCAUUCCAACAGAGCCACAAUCAAUAACUGACAAAAGUGUAUAAAUAUGGCCUAAAAAUUGUAAGAUACCGGGCGAAAGUCUUGUCUUUCAGGCAGCAGAGGAACAGAAACCACCGGUUCUUCCAUAAUAUUCUCAGACAGUUGAGCUUUUGUGUGGCUAAAUGUCAGAAAAACCCAUUGUAUGAUUUAUGUCUACAAAUCAUGAUUUGGAUGACAGCAUACCUCAUUGGCCGGAGCCGUGUGCAAAGGCUGGAUGCACGGGGCAUCUGUUGAGCUCAGCACUUUAAAACGAUUUCUUGGCACCCUCUGCAUGCCCUGGUGAAUCCGUCUCCUUUGAUGUUUCCUUAGAAAUUCAACUGAUUUGUGUGUGAGCAGAAAAGCAGGAGACUGUAAGAGGUGUUAAAAGGGCAAAAGAGGAGACGGAGGGUGCAUAAAACCAUAUCUGGAAUAUAGCAUAAAAGGAGCGGAUAAUGAUAGAUUUUUUUUCUCUGAAUUUUAAUGUUACUCAUUAUUCACAUUUUUGACUUCUCUCAUCCUUUAUUUGAUAUUUCAGUUUGAUGUGCAGAAUUAGAGUCCUAAUCAGCAUAAAAUAGCCUUACUGGACACUUGAUAGGGUAUGGAGGUGUGGGGAACAGUGUGAGACAGUGUCCUUGAAAAUCUUUGUGUUUCGUAAGUUCUUCUCUUUGUUUAAAUACUGGCAUACAAUCCCCUUGAAGAGUUAAGAUUUAUUACCGACUGUCUGAUCAUUCUCUCUGAUUGUCUUUUAAUUGUGAUAUGCAGGAACACUAUAAUUAUUACUGGAAGUAGUGCAAACUGGAAAUCCAGUAUGUGCCUUGUGGUUGUGUUUGGCUCUGUUCCCAAUGUAAUGGAUGCGUUUUGAGAAAUGGUUCCCCUUCCUGGACCAGAUCAACACAUUAACCUAUGCUCAGAGAGGCUUAUUUAUGCCAUGUCCCGUCACUAAUGAUGGCUCCCAAUAAAGACAUGUCAGUUUACUUGAAUGAAAAGGUUUUGUGGCAGCAGUGACAGCGCUCUCUUGGUGAUCGUUUAUCUCAUGAUCUAAACAAUGACCCUCUUAUGUAUUGAUGAUGAUGAUGACCUGUGCUGGUAUACCCUCACAUUUAAAUACAAGUCAUCUAUUAAGUUUUUCCAGUCAAAAGCCAACAAAUGAAUUAUUUUCCAUGUGGAAAAGGACAAUAGACUUAAAGGGAUAUUCCGGCGUAAAAUUAAGUUAGGGUCAACACACCGUAACACCGAGUUAGACACCCCGUCGGGAGAUGAAUGUUGCCAACCACUUGCUUCUCUAGUUAUACCAACUUUAGUAACGGCCACACGAUAGCAAUACACAGCGGUCUGAGGAGCCACACACAAACCUCAAACAAAAAGCCACUCUUUAGCCACAAAUAAUGCUCAGAAUAGCACCUAACUUCAUCAACAGUACAUAUAGGGUCCUAGCCACAGCACUAGCCACCAAACAUCUUUUUAGCUUUGCCUAAUUUCUUAAGCAAAGAGACUAAACACAACUCACCUACUCUCCUCCAGCAGCCGCUUGUUUGUAGUGAUUUUCAGUGUAGAUAUUUAUAAUUCUAAAUGUCAGUAUCUUUUAUUUUAUUUACCAUAUCUUUUUAAAAUACAUUUUACAAGUUGUUUUUAUAGUUUUUAUUUACCAAAUCAAUAAUGACCAUCUUAAACAUCACUGAUUUAAGUCAAACGUGUUGCAUUCAGGAGCAGAGAGGGCAGCCUGCUGUGACGCAGUUUCAAUACUUGGUUGUACCAUCAGUUCUAUCUUUUGAGGAAAAUAGCCAAUCAUAGUUUAUAACUGUGAGGCGAGACCAGGAGUGGUCAAUCAGAUUUCAAGGGGGCUCUUGCCACGUUUUUGCCACACUUCUUGACAUGCCCCUGCAUGUCAUUUAAUGUCUUUGAGAGCCGCAGAGGUGCACAAGGAAGCUUUUGCUAUCAGGGAUAUUAGUGUGUUGGGAUUUAGUGUUUUUCUUUUCCCUUUAUGCCCCUUGCUAUUCUCUUUGUGUUUUAACCACUGUGUAUUAGUCCACGUAUGAAAAAUCUUAAUAAUUGAAACCAACAAGAGCAUGUUAGUUCAGAAAACAUAUGAAUUAAAGAUAAGAAGACAUGAAAUUGACAUAGUUUAAGAGAAUAAAACAUGUUGUCUUGACUCCUGAUUGGUUUGAAGAUAUUUUUGAAUAAAGGAUUAUCUUUGUUAAGAUUUAAACUGUUUUAACUGUGAAGAGAGCCCAAGGAUACAUGUUUGUUAAUAAGUAAAAGACACCUCAAAGCUUUAAAAAAUGAGCAUCAGUGUGGUUGGUCCUUUUAGAGAGCCAAAAUGUUCUUAUGUAGAGAAACCUAAAGUUGUAAAAUAUAAUUUAAAAGUCGUAGUGACCAUAAUCACAUGUGACACUGGUAAAGUAUUGACUAGCCACAGUCAAAUAAACCUCAUCAAUUGUUUAUUUCAAGCCUUUCUCAAACCCCUUUUCUCCAUAUAUUUGUUCCCUUCAUGCUGUACUCUGAAAGAUUAUUUUCUGGACAGUUUUCAUCUCUAGUCUGCUAGACUGCUAGAUUGACACAAAUGAGUGUGUCUGUGUGAGCCAGAAAAAGGCGGGGGAGAGAGAGGAAGGUGGUAAGCCGUUGCCUAUACAGCAAUCACUGACCAUCUCGAGCCUCACUGACAGUGAUCAAGUGUGGCUUACCAAGACAGCUUAGGUGAUCGAGGUGUCCACAGCAGCAAUUCAUCAUGCUAUCAGGGAACACAAAGAUGACAAGUUGUUUCACUGCUUCAAUCAAUUUUCUGCAAUUUUCAACUGCAGUGUGUCUCAUGGUUGAAAUAGUGCAAUGCUAUAGAUUAUCAGCUCUCUUUUUCCUUAAAGCAUCCAGUCAGUUAAGGCUGCUGAGAGCAAUUAUGAGCAAUUUAAACUGGAAUAAAGAACACACCCUUGAGUCAUGUGUCCGUCAAAUGUCACAUGUCCCUCCAAGCGACUGCCAACCACCCAUCAGCACACAAACGAGCACUAUCACAUUCACUCAACAUUAUCUGUUCAGCAGGUUAUCACUGUGGGUGACAGCUCACCAUUAAUGCCGACAACAGAUCUAAUCGCCGGUCAGCCAUGGUAACAACAUCAUACCAUCAAUAUGACAUCCGCAAUUAUCAAUAGCCAUCUCUAUGGAGAAGGAAUGAUUGAGCAGAGGACCUAUUGAGGCUUAUUGGACGAGAGACUAGAAGAAAGAACCUGAAGUAAAUAUGCACGGCUUAUUUAAAAAAAUAUAUAUUAAAAAACAAGUGAGAAAAAAUAUCAUUAAAAGCCUGGCACACACCAAAAUAUUUUAAAAUCUAAUUCAGAGACCCCACACAUGAUGACAAAGGACACACAUGCAAUAGUUUGUUCCUGCAGUGUGGUGUGCAAUGAUGUGGUGAACACGACACACUGCACACAAAGACUCAGACUGGUUGCCUGGGUCCUGAGUCUCAUGACUGGAAAUCUCUGAGAGUUAGCAAACAUGGCUGACUACUGUAGCUGCUAGCUUCCCGAUUGGUUAUCUAGUUGCUCUAUGUGACAAUAGACAACCUGCAUUAUUGGCCAGUCUUGGGCAUCUCCCCCACACAUAACGAUUAUUGAUAGUUUAUUUUGGUGGCUUUUGUCAGAAGGGGGGCAUAGGGCCCUGAAUUGGUGUGAUUAUCUUGUUGUGUGUAUCUUGACUGAUAUUAAUCGCGCAGCAGCAGUGAUGGGGGUGAUGAAAAAACAAUUGGGGAGGAAAAGAUGAAGAGAAGAAAGAGAAAAUAUGAUAAGAAAAGAAAAUUAUAAUAAAAGGAGAAAGUGGAAAGAAAAAAAAGGAAAAAAGAAAAACAAACUUCAAAGCAGACAUGGAAAAAAUGAACAUGGAAAAUGAACACAGAAAAAAUUAAGAUCAGUAAAAGUACAUCAAAAGAUAUAGAGAAAACAUUUAUACAACCAAAGAGAAUUAAAAAGGAAAGAAAAUCAUACUAAAAAAUUAAGACAGAAAAUAAACCAAAUAAAGUUAUGCAAAAAAAAAAAAAAAAAACAGAAAAAAUUAAAAGAAGGAAAAGAAAAGAAACACAAGUAGAGGAAAGUAAAAAGAAAACAAAAACAAAAUAUUGAAUGUGAGUGCUAAAAGAAAAUUGAAAUUAAAAUAUUAAAUGUAAAAAGGAAAGUUUUAAAGAGUUGAGAAAUGAAAAGUCAAAGAAAAAAGUAAAAUAGGAAAGUUAAAGAAAAAUGAAAAGGCAUAAAGAGGGAAAAAUGACAGCUGAUGAAAAGAAUGCAGGGUGAAUAAAGUAGAUAAAAAAUAAAUAAAAACAGAAUAUGAAAAGAAAAAGAAAUGGCAGGAAAAUAAAUUUAAUGUUCAAGAUAAACAUUCUACAAAGACACAGAGAGAACAAGGUGUAGCAGCUGCCUUUCCAAGAGACAGAGCAAAAACUUUCUUUAAAAAGUCUAUCUUCAAGAAAGACCAAGAGAAAUAUAACACAUAAAUAUCUUUAAUGUGAUCACUUAUUUCAUCACACCCAAAUGUCAGACUUUAUUGAAGUAGAGCUGAUAAAGGAGGCUGGCCUAAGAUAGUUUAUAGCCCAACAGGAAUUGUUUGAAGAGGCAGAAAAAAAUGGACACACUGCUAGAAGAAUAGAUGGAGGAAGAGGAGUAUUACAGCAUGCAGGAAGUGCAUCUGUUCAUGUCCCACAGGGCUACUCGUGCAUUCAGCCCCCGUUAAAGACACUUCUGUAAAAGACAACAGAAUCAUUUAUUGAACUAGCAUUAAAAUUUCAUACUAAAUGGCACUACCAUGCUGUUCCCUAUUGUUUUUUUGAAAUGACUUGAUAGCCUUGUAUUGUUCCCACGUUGCCUCUAUUAUCAUGGGGAAAAUUGUGUUAUGUUUCCUUUUGUGUGCGGGGUUUUCCUUUUUCUUCCCCCCAGCUCCCCGAAGCUACCUCGGUGUCUCUUUCUCUUCCACCUGCUCUUGGCCUCCAUCUGUUUCUUCAAGCGUUUGACUUGCUCUUGUUUUCUCUCUGUCUGUGGCUUGACUAGCUGUAUCAUCCUCAGGAGAUUUUGACAUGAUAUUAAGUUAUAGUUACAAGGCAAUACUGUGAUGUGGAUCCUGGGGGAAAUCUCUCAGAUCUGGAGUAUGCCAUUUUUACUUGAGGAGGCAGGUGUCUGCCUAGUAGAACCAAACAACGAUAAAUUUAAUUUUGAAAGUGGAUACAUAGUACCUCCUUGAAACCACCAGGGAUUUCAUACUGGGAUGAGAGAACCUACCUGUUUUUUCCUCUCUCAGCCCAGGAGGAUGUUAAUUCGUUGACAGAAUGAGGUAUGAUUCCAGCAGUGACAGGUGUAGGCAUAAGCAGGUGCUGCCUUGCGAUACUGUCAUGAAAUUUAUGUCUCUCGUCUCACAGUGAGGGCCCUGUCUAUACCAGCUGCUGCAACCUUGUGAGGGGAAAGCUAAGAGGUUUUAAUUAGGAGUAAGAGUGUCAUUAAUUACACAUUCGUUCACACUCACAUCACUGUCUAACUGAGAACUUCCUCCCACAUUCGGACUCCUCCCCCCUCUCUCCCGCCAUGUCAGUGCUUUACGAAUUUAAGUACCUGAGAAUUUACUCCACUGCCUUUAGGGGAAAGGAAAGCAAAUUUGUUAAUUUGAUGAAUUGCACUCCUAACUCCCCUCAUGUCAUUCCCUCCACCCCAGUCUCUCGGAUCCUUCAGCACACUUUCAUCUUUGAUCUAGGACCCCCAUGGGGAGACAUGUUUGAGGAGGCAGACCCCUGACAGCUCUUUCAGACGGCUAGGAUUUAAGUGAGAUGGGGGUGCAUGCGGCAGAUUAGUCUCUUAAACGACUUGGGGAAACAAUGAGUAGAGAAAUUUCUCAUGGAAAGCACCUAGGUUCAUUACUCUGACUAAUUUAAUUUUUCCCUUUGUACAAACGGGAUGAUGAGGUCAUAACUCAGCGCACAAACCUGAGACCGAGGCUGUUGCUGCCGACAACGUGAUAAAGACAAGUAAUAUGCUUAACUUCCUCAGAUUUAUCCUUCAGGGAGAGGAGACUUUAAUCUCUCCGAACAAUAUAGCAGCGCUUUAUUAAUAUUCAUUUAUAGGUAUAAUAUAGCUGUGCUAUAUUAUUAAUGAUCAUUCACACUUUGUCUGUAAGGCAUUAGGUGUAACUGUUGCUAUAGCACUGCAAUCAGCGGAGGCAGACAGGUAAUUCCAAUCCUCAAUUGUAAAACAGGCUUGUAAUGUUAAUGGUAGUUAACCCUGUUGCCCCACAGCAAGAAAAGCGCUGUGUUCAAAUCCAGCAGCUUAUGAAGUCCUAUCUAUCCUGUGAGUGUGGGUUACUUUCUCUGCUGUCCAAAAUUAUUUACAUUUACUAAGUGAAAGCACUAAGUGAGUACUGUAGUUAAUACACAGUUAAAACUUGCAGAUGGUGGCUUUGUUUGCUUAUUUACUUUUGCGACUUUGGGUUACGGAGUAAUGCCAAAAACACAAAGGAUGCAUGUGAGUCAUGUUCUGGUUUUCGCUCCGUUUGAGGGUGUGCACUUUGGCCCACUUCGAUCGUGUUUGAAGCAGAGUCUAGAGCAGAUGGACUCAGUUUACAACAGGUUACGUUGCUCCUCCAUGGUUGACUUAUGUGCUUCUGCCUCUGGUAAGCAAGCAACACGAUUAAAGUUUUGGUUUUUGCAGAUGUACUAGCGUCUUUAAAUGAUAUUCCUUUUUGUUGUGGUCUUUUCUGGAGAGAAAGUUAGCAACUUUAAAGAUUUGGUUGAUGAUUGGAGAGAUUGGUAAUUAUUAUGAACAUUGUUUAUAUGGCGAUCAUGGUCCUAUAGCGCGAUCUCAACAAAGUGAAGAGAAAAAAGAAUGGGAAAAAAAAGGUUUACCCUCGCUACUGCAGGGCUGUAAAAACAUUGACCAUUGGGAGCCAUCCGUCUUGGACAGCUCGUAUUGGUAAAUCUCCUGCUCCUCCUCUCCAUCCAAUCACCUCACUGUAUUCGACACACCCCUCUCCCGUAAUUCUGACUCGUCCCCUCCCAUUAUUCUGGCCCUCCUCUGAGCUGGGUUUGUAAACAGACGCCGAGGCAGCAGAGUUUUUGUUGAACAGGUAAUUUUCGCCUUUUAUCGUGGCACAUGUUACAUAAAUAACUCUCAUUUGUCUCUGCAAUGUCAACAUGGUACCUGUCCAGGCAGCUGCAGACGGUGCUCGCUAACAGAGCUGGCGUUACUGCUGCUAGUCACCAGCAAUCCGACAUGGUGAAUCCUAUUUGAAGCUAGCGUAGGGUCUUCUGCUGGCUGGCUUCUUGCCCUGCCGGAGAGGGUGUGUCUUAGGGAGGGCGAUACAGGUUCGGGGGGGGGGGGGGGGGGGUAGUUAUGGUGGAGCACAGAGGGGAGAGGUUUGUGUGUGGGGGGUUUGACGCUUUUCAACUGCUUCUCCAAUCAUCAACCAUGUCUUUAAGUCCUGUUGUGGUCAACAAGGAUCACUGAUAGGCCAUGUGGUUGUUUUGAGUUUAAAAUACAUUCAUCAUCAAUGAGUAUUUCUCAUUUAUAUACUCUAAUAGACAGUCAAGAGUCAGCAUAUUGUGUUUUAUUCUUGAAUGAACUGGAUGGUAUGGCAUUCCCGUGCUUGACAUCCUUUCAAGGUCAAUCUCCUCUGUUCAGAAUGGUGCAGGCUCAGUCAACAAUAGACUCAGCUUUUAUGUUUAGCGUAGCAGAGCAAAGAGACGCUUCAUCCACUGUUCACCAAGUCUUGUUUUAAAGUUAUUUUAGAGUAACAGUUUGUAGUAACUGAGGAUGGGGAAAGGAAAUCACUCUAACUCAUGGGGGAAUCAUUUUAAUCUAGUCCUCCAGCCACUUUAUUUUUUUUUUCUUUUUCUUUUAGUAGAUGGCUGCCAAUGAAGCAUUUGAGUCCCAGCCAGGGUUCUUACAACAUGGUUGACUUCAUUCGAGACAUCCAGAAAACUAACAGUGAAGAUGCAAAUGAAUAGACUUGAAGCUCAGUUUUCACAUGGGCUGUCAAACACCGUUGAAGAUGAACUGGGCUUGCAGCAGCUUGCAUAUGAUCUGCUUUCUCAUCUACUUGGCCUUCUGGGUGUAAAAUCAACUUUGCGGGCAGAGUAAAGAUAAUCAUUGGUACAGAGAGAAAAGGCUGAAUCACCAAAAGAAUUAAGAAGAGAGAAAGAAUCACAAUGUUCAUCUUCAGAAGCCUGGCGAUUAUUUUAUUAUGAAUAAAUUCCAGACCAAAGGGUAAAGAAAUUGAAAUGUAUAAUGAAAAAUUGGAUUCAGUACGUUCUGUUCAUGUGGGAUCUAGUAAAAAGUAGCCAUCAAUACCUAUGAAAAGCCUAAAAACCUGAAGACAGAGGGACUAUUAAAAUAAGUCAACCCUGAAUAAAAUUCCAAAGAGAACUGGCGAGAGGUAAGAGCGACCUUUGAAGACUUAUUAUUAGUAACCUGCUGGUUAAAUUACAGCCCCGUGUCUAUAAUAUGACCAAUUUGUCGACAUUCACUGCUGCAUGGUGCUCCUGUUCACCCAGUGCGGGGUAUGUGACAUUCACUUUUACCACAAUGUUACUUUGUUCCUUCAGUUACGGGUCCCACAUCUCCCUCCUGGGGGAUAGAUCCAGCAAGCUGACUGGAGGGCCACAGCCAGAUUCAAGCAGCUCCACUGUAACUUCAAAUUUGCAAUGUUGGGGUAGUUACUCAUAAAAAGUAAUCUGUUACUAGUAACUAGUUACUUAUGUAAAUUGUAAUGAGAUUACUUAACUAGUUACUGCAUUUGAAAAGUAAAUUCACUAUAUAUUACUCUACUUUCCCAUUUCUUUAAUUUACAGUGUAGAGGUAGAUGGACAAACAUCGUAGCCCAAUCAUCACUGAGCAUAGUUUGCAUCGUUUUGUUUAUUGUAUCAAUGUUGCCUGGGCAUAGAGUGCAUUUCACACAGUAUUUUUGUCGUUUUGAAUGAUAUCGCGAAAGUAAUGCGAGUAUUGCAUCUAAGGAGUGAUCUUGAAAUAUUUCUUCUUGAAAAAGUUCAGCAAUCCUUGAUCUGAAAACCAACAAGCAACUUUUGCAAAGGAAGUAAUGUCCAUGUAGAUUCUCAUUCAUCCAGGUCAUGGUUAUCUUGAAGACUCAAAAAUCAGGAAACUGGACUAUGUAGAAUCUCCGCACAGUCCAGUUGCCUGAUUUUGAGGUCUUUGAGAUAAAGGAAACAAUGUAAUUUCAAAGUUUUUUGGGCGGGCUACCUUUGAGGUCAAGCCUUGACAGGUGACUGGUAAACUGUCAUCUUUGUUUCAAGAGUUGUCACGUUUCGUCUAUUGUCAGCGUCACCUUUGACAGAACUGGCUGUGCUUAACUGUCUGUGAGGCAAAUUUACCCGUAAGUGUUAAAUUAGAGUGUUGUUUGUCUUAACAUCUCAGCCUUGUAAUUUACUGGCAAGCAGUGACAGUUAGGAUGGACUCCGAACUGCACAACCCUGAAUGAGACAAGCAACAGAUAACAGAGGGAUAGAUGCAUCACUGCAAAUCAAACCUUGGCUUUCAAGCUUUGGGUGAUCAAACUUCACUGCUUACCCAAAUAAAAUCCAAAUGAAACACCUUGAAAGACUCAAAGCCAUGGCACUUUGAUAUGACGCACUAAGAACUAAAUCCCUCAUGAGAUGGAUCCCGCUGGGUUAAGCUAAGAGACAAAAGAAAGGGAAAAAAAACCCCCACAGAUUCAGGAACAAUUACAGUCAUAACACCCCGAUACUCCAUAGUCACUUGGGAUACUGCAAUUUAACUAUUUUAAAAAUUAACUGCCCAACUUUUGAUCAGAGGUCCUGUAAUACUUAUCCAUUACAGACAUAGGACCUGAAGAUACAACUCCAUAACAUCUAUGAGACAGGUUCAUGUUUCGUCAUUGUCACAAAAAUGUCAAAAUCUUAUCUAUGACAUAUUUUGUAACCCAUUUUGGACAUAACUGUGGUCUUUUUUUUAUUCUAAUCAACUCAAAUUUUAUUGUACAAGCAAGGUGAUUUAUUAAAGUUCAUGUAUUUAGAUGUUUUUAUGGAUGCUUUCCUAACUUCUGUUUUUAAAUGACACACUUUUUUUACUCUAGAAGUGUCAAUGUCAAUGUCAAGUUUAUUUGUAUAGCACAUUUAAACAGCCAGUGGCCUACCAAAGUGCUUUACAAUAACGGAGCAGUAGCAAUAAAAGCAAGUCAUACACAGCAAACAGCAACAACAAAAGACAUGUAACAUAUAAUGUAAACAAAAACAAAUAUAUGACCAAUACAAGUAUCAUACUCCGUCAAAAGCUAAGGUGAACAAGUGCAUCUUCAGUUGGGUUUUAAAAGUAGAGAGACUAUUUGCAGUGCGCACACUUAGGGGUAGUGCAUUCCACAAAGUGGGAGCUGCCACCGUAAACGCUCGCUCCACUCUGGAUUGAAACGAACGACUCGGUCAGCAGACCGAAGGGCUCUGGAGGGUUGAUGUAGCUUCACAAGGUCAGCCAGGUACUCUGGGGCCAGCCCAUUCAGAGAUUUAAAAACAAAUAAAAGAAUCUUAAAAGCGAUCCUGUACCUAACUGGAAGCCAGUGUAGAGAAGAGAGCACUGGAGUUAUGUGCUCACGCUUCUUGGUGCCACAGUGCACUGUAUCUCUUUUUGAUGUGACAUUACAAGUGCUUAAUGACAGGGUCUGUGUGAGAUCCAGAUUUCUAUUUAUAUCCUUAUAAAAGCAAUGAUAUUUCAUUAUACCUAAGGCUAGUUUUUAUAGUUGAACAGUUACAGUCCUCACACAUUUCAGUUUUAAACCUAAAACCUGGUCAUUUAAUAGGUGCAUAAAUUUUUACAGACAGCAGCAGUCACAAAAUUAAAUUUUUUUUAAAAAAAAAUAUAUAAUUUUGCAUAUUUUGCCCCUCAUCCUUCUCUUCCUUGAUUGUUUCUAUGUUCUGAAUUCAUACCUGCAUCCCUGGGUCUUUGUUUUGUCUUACCCUAUUUCUUGUUUUCCUCAGCCUCUUUGUAUCUGUUGCAGCACCACCUGCCCAAUACCGGCUCUCAGCAGGACACAGACAGCACAUUGAUCAGAGCUAUGCCAUGCACAGCGAUGUAGGAGCUCCUUUUUUUCUUCUUUUUCUCUCGCCACAGUAAAGAGAUGACUCAAAGAUUGUGGCUGUGACUUAUAGCCUCUUAAUGAGAGUUCAUGAUCUCUCAAAGGGUGUGCAGAGAACACAGAAAAUGUACUUUACUGGACUCUUAAGCACAGUUACCCUGAAUUACUUUGCUGUUCAAACUAAUCUUUCCAACAAUAACACUCUUAAAUAGACCUUCAUUUUUGUUUUCAACUGUAAACACCUGCUGAUUGAUUUAAUUGGAUCACUAUUAUCUGAAAAUGAGCGAGCAGCAGUAGGUUUGGAGGCAGUAACAUUUUGGAUGGCACCUAUUUAACACCAAAAUAUGUUGUUGUUUCAUGCUUUUAUCUGCACAUUGGCUGUGCAACACUGCCAAUCCAUUCUACUUUAUUGCUUUAUGUUUACUGCACCAAAGUUGCCUCGAUGUUUUGUCUGUUAUGGGAGUCCAUUUGUUAGAAAAAUGUGGCGCUGAAAGCUGCAACAACCGUCGAUGUGCAUGUUUUUCUUUGUACACCUCGGAGUAAACAGAUUUUUCUUGACUGGCUGACUCAGUUAUUGUGCAACUUGAGAUUUCUCUUCAAGCCCACUAUUGAACAGCAGAAUUAUCAAAAAGCAGACACAGGACACAAACACAGGUAUUCUUUGUGUAACUAAAGCACCAGUAAAUAUUUUUAGGACAUGGGUUUAGUGAUGUGCUUUGUAAAGUUGUGACUAUUAUUCUCUUUUGAGGCGAGGGUGAUGGCCAAACUUGUAAUGCAAAACCCUUUCUUAUUUAUUUUUUGUGGCCACAUUGGAUGGAUAAGGUGGGGAAAAAUUGGAAAUUGUGUGUCUUUGUGUGUGUAUAUAUGAGAAGGGGGAGGAGGGGGCUGUGUGAGGCCAAUUAUUGUCGGGCUGGAGCUGAGCCAGCAAUCGGUUCCUUGAGGACUUUGUCCCCAUAUAUGAGGCACCUGCUCUCCAACUGACCUAAACAAGCACGCUUAAAGUUACAGAUUUUCAUGGGCUUGAACAACCACAGAGGCCUACUUACUACUGACAUGCAUGAUUUUGAAGAUACCUUUAUCCAUGCAUAUGAAAUUAAACACGCUCCAAUAAGAUUUUGUGAGUUUUUAAGCAGUGUUCUGCUUUUCUUCAAAUAUUUAAAGACAUGAAGUUCCUGAUGUUAAAGAUAUGGUACGAAAUGUUUCCAUUGUCAGACAGUGUUAGCUUGACAUCUGAGAUACUGGAUGAAAACCAUAGACUGUAUAUAGAACAGACGCCGUCUGCCUUGCUAGGUGAAGCCACCUCGAGAACAGCACACCCUGGUGACAGGCUGCAGUAUAGAUCAUAAAUCCCGCCUCCUUCAGCAAAGCUGAUGGAGCUGUGGACAAAUUUUAGAAAUUUAUUGCACAGAAUAUAAUUUAUUCUCCCCCCUGGUUGCAAUGUUGACGUGUAGUUAUUGUAAGACUGGUUUGAGCUGUUUGAGCCGAGCGCCAUCACAGCGACUCUCGGCGACUCUCUCGCCAAAUGCGUACAAUGCUACUACGCAAUGUUGGUUUCAGAAAAUGGAGAAAAAUCACGAAAAUACUGAGAGCUUUUCGGCUCCUAAUCCGUAUACUGGUAGAAGGUGGAACCAAUUUGUCCAUAGUAUAUACAGUCUAUGAUGAAAACUGACUACACUCAAGUCUAUACGACACUUUUCUAUAUGACCAAUUGAUCAUACUAUUCUGUGAUUGCAGGUCAUUUCACAGGCCCAGUUCUGGUUAAGGUGGCAAACAAACUUUCUUACCGGCCAAUUCAAUCAGCCGUUCACAGAAUAAUGAAGUAAAUAUUAUGCAAUGAGAAGGGGGAUAAUAUACUGUGUACUCAUUUUGUUGUAUGUGUGGUUGUCUGUUUCUGCUGCUGAUGACAAAUUGUAGAUUAAUUCUUGUUUACCUUGCAGAACUGGUUAUUAAUUGCAUUUUGAUUAUGCAUCAUUACCAUUGAUUUAAUAACUUGGAAGCAUGGAGCAAGAUAAACAAAUUACAAUUGGAAAUUAGAUACAAUCAGUAAAUCAGCUUAGUAUGUCCAUCAGUCACUCUUGACUGUUUUUAAUUCAGCUAAAACUGAAAAAAAGAGAUUAGCAUACAUGUAUAAUUGUUCACCAAUGCUGACCAACUGUUGUUUGCAUAUUUCUCCUUGGAAUUUCUUAUAAUAGAGUUCCCUGCAAACAUUUAUAAUUUAUUUUAUUCCUUGUCCAAAACUUACUUUUUUAAUGGACAUUUCUCACUGUGAAAUUAAAGGCGACAUAAGUGAUCCUGUUUCUAACAGGUCAUUAUUUCUUGCAUAUAUUCUCCUGAAGCCUAAGGAUACAAAUCAUAGCCAAUGAAAUAUAAAGUACAUUUCAACUACAAGUGUAGCCUGUAUAUCUCUCCUUGUGGUGAUCUUAUGUGACAGUAAAAUAUACCACACUUUAAGAGAUUUAUAUCCUUGGCAAUGCUGCCUAGAAAGCAAAUGCUACUUGGGUGUAGAGAAAAACACACAGCUUGUUCUGCCAGUCAGGGCUAAUGGUCACAUUUACGCAAUAAAAAAGCUCUGUUUGCUGCUGCUCACAAGGCGCAAGACAGAUUAGCAAUAAUGUGAAUUUGAGCAUAACUAGGGCAUGGGCUUUUAUUUUUUGGGCCCAUUUGGGACUACCUCAUACACUGCAGACAGUCCCGUUUGCUCCACAUAGAUAAGUCUAGGAGAGAGGUGCGAAGUGUUCCUCUUCAGAGAUCACCAGGUGCGGAUCUGCUGAUUCCAGCAGUUUAUUUCUUGUUCUUGAAUUUCUCCUUAUUCAAACUUAUUUUCUACUUUUCAAAGAUUGUUUUUUGUAUUUGCACAUUUGAGUUUCAAUUGUAUUCAUCUUCAUGCGGGCAGUCUAAGUAACACAGUUCCACAUGAGCAUGGCUGUUGAAUGUUUAAAAGUUGUGACGCUCACGUUUUCUUCAGUACUCUAUUAAAGCUCCUAUAAGGGAACAUAGGGGAACAUAAUUUGUAUUAAUUUUGAAUCCUCUGAAUUUGCUUGUCUUGUCCUCUACAGGCUCAAGUUUUCUCAACAGAGCUGUCUCUUCAGCUCCUUGCUUCACACCUACCCCCUCGCUCUGCUUUCAAGCGUUAAAAAUACACAAUUAUAAAUCAUUCGUCUUGUUGCUGAUGGUCUAGUUUGCUUUUGAGUAUUAUCGAGAACCAUCAAAAUAAGUUUCAAUCUGCUUCAUAAAUGACAAAAAAAAAAAAAUCUUACUGGAGCUUUAAUUUUCACAAUCCGUUUCCUAGCCAAAACUAGAGAGUACUUUAAACAACAAGAACCAAUGAAUUGGUGACAGGUUCUAUGUAGACCUGCUUGGAGGAGUUAAAAUAAGAUGUGAUAUGUGGUAGACCUUGCUCUGUCCGUAGUGGUCAAUACCGUAGCUGGUCAGCUUCCCCUGUGGCUAAUAUGCUACUGUCAACAUGCGUCCUAAACAACCUCACUUUAAAGAAACAAACUUAAAAUUACCCAUGUUUUACCAGUUUAACCGAGUUAGAGCCCAAAUAAGUCCAAAGUUAGGUUUAUCACUGGAUAAAAAGACCCAGGACCUGUGGUCAAAAUCUCCAUGCAGAGUCUGUGAAACAGUAUGCAUCUCCAAUCUAUCUUUGUUUUUGGACAAUAGGAGCUUUUGUCAUGUGUGUUUAUUGUUAUAGAGUAUGACCUUUACCCAGUUUUUUCUUAUAUUAUUCCAGAGAAAGUCAAAGUAAAAUGCAAUGAGAAACACAGAAAAAUGUUAUUAUGCAACGGUGUCCCUGAAAUGGUGCUUCAGUACGAGUCACAUGAACACUGACUGUGCUCAGUUCACUGGUCUCUAUCAGGGUAUAUUGCUCCUUAAGGACGUAUUAUGACUAACAAAGACUGAUACUUACACAGACAUGUUCUAUUUGAAGUUAUGGCUAAUUUGGACCUGAUAUUACCUAAAUCUAAACCUGCCCACCAGCCUCAUUUUCCUCUGCAACAGGAGAUCACUCCCCUGCACUGUGCAUCGACAGCCUGAUAUCACUUUUCGUCUGGAACCUCUGAGUUCAUUGUCAAUUUGCCAAGGGCUGUUAUCACAGAUAACUAAAUUACCAAAAAGCCUCUGGAGGAAAUUAGUUACACCUACAACAGCUUCAGGUGGCGCAGAAAAAAAGGGCUCCUGCAUUUUUAGGGACUUUGCCUAACCUUUGCUUAAGAACUGUUCACCCUUCUAAUUUCAGGAGGGGGCACAGCAGAAGGUCCAGGAACACAAGAUUAAAAAAAGACUCCCUUGACUCCAACUGCUGAUAUCUACUUAAAGACUGCUUUUGAUUUUAUAAAUACAUUAGGUAACACUUCACUUGAUGCCUAUCUCUAUAACGCAUCAUAAAAAUGUGUGUAAUACAUUAUAAUCACAUUAUAGCACUGUAUACCAAUAGUUAUAAACACUCAUAAAUGAUCAGAAUGCUUUAUAGCAAUAAUCACAACACAUUAUAAAGCAUUUUACCAUGACUUACAAUGUCAGGUAUUAUAAUGUGUAAUGCUUAUUGUUAUAAAGCCUCAUGAUAAUUAAUGAGUGUUUAUAAUGAUAGUUAUACAAGUUUAUAAGCAAAUUAUAACACAUCAUAUAUGUAUAAUGCAUUAUCUAUGUUGGCAUUGUCAGUGAGUUGUUAACAGUUACAAGGUCAGGUAUUAUAAUGUGUUAUAAGUCAUGAUAAAAUGCUUAAUAAUAUGUUAUGAUUAUUGUUAUAAAGCAUUAUGAUCAUUUAUGAGUGUUUAUAACUAUAGUUAUACAGUGCUAUAAUGUGAUUAUAAUGCAUAAGACACAUAUAGAGAUAGGCCUUGAGUAAAGUGUUACCAUACAUUAUAUUAGUGAGAUCAUUAUGACAAGUUACAUUUUCAGUGUAAAUUGAGCCUCUAUACCCUUCUCUAUGAUUGCAGACAUUACUGCAGAUUCAGAACUGGUCCCAGUCAGUAGCAGCCACUGUGCAAAUUCCUCAUCCUUGCUUAUUCUUGCAUUUAUCAUAAUUAGCUGUACCUGUAUUUGAGAAACCAGCCAUGGCAAGGUACAGUAGGCAUCUGUCUGAAAAGGAAAUAAAUCAAACACAUCUGCUAAGAUCAAAUCAGUUCCCUCGACUGCAGCUCGUAAGUUCAUAUCCUGCCGUCCUUGAUCCUGCUCCAUCAAAGAGAUCUGUUUACAUCCCUUGGUGUAUUUAGCAUUCACUCGUACACACUUUAAACCCCGGGGUGAUUGAUAUUUUUGAGAGAGUAUGUGCUCAGCUGUGCUUUGGAUCCAGCACCCAGGUUCAUGCACCAGAUUGUGAGCUCGGACCUUUGUAACAGGCCAUGCCUGCAGUGGUGGAUUUGAAAGCACAGGCAUGGAGAGGCGUCAUCUGCUGGGAGAAGCAAGAUCAAAUAACAGAUUCAGAUUUGCCAAAGUCAUUAAUUUCACAUGCUGGCAGUGAAAGUCUUUGUGGCUUCUGAAUAGGAGAUGUUUUCAAUCACAGAUUCUUAUUCAAUCAUCACAAUUGCCAUUUGGGAACCAGACUUAUUCGGGCAGUAUUCACAACUGCAACAGAAAGUUGAAGUUUUUGUGUUUGACAGAGGAAGGACAGAAUAGAAACAGUAUAAAAGAAUACAAAGCUUUUCAGCGGCUCCCACUUGGUUGGCAGAAAGAAUAUGUUAUUUUGUACACUUCCACUGUCUUGAAUAAAACAAACUCUCACUGGAAGUACGCCCUUGGAUUGUAAUGAUCGAAUGAAAGGAAGAAUCAAGUGAGUUUAAUCACUGCACAGCUCUUCACUUUGCCCUGGCCAGCUGACAGAUCCAGUUCUGUACCAGAGAGCUCUGAACAGUGGAGCUGUGUUUGUAUUUGUAUGAAUCACUCAGUCAUUCUGAUUGAUGCCUUUGACAUCUGUAUGUCUUGAUCUAGUUUUUCGCAGACAGUUGAAGGUGUCUAUUCACUGUGGUUGUUCAGUCCAUUGUUCUUGUCAUCGUUGGAUGCAUACCCUGUCCUUAAGUCAUACCAGCAAAGAUCUAAAGGUGAAGAGUGGCUUGUGAAGACUUCCUGUGACUGCAAGACUGUUUUAUGUCUUCCAGCAACCUAGCACUCUGAAGGAGUCCCACUGGGAUGUUCAUGGUGGUCCAUAUUGAAUUAGAGUUUGCCCUGGUCUUAAGUCUGUGUAACAUUUCCCAGUCCUUGUAUCUAUUGGACAGGUUUUUCCUCUAAGAUCCUCUGUGCUUGCCACUCUUUUACUCCCUUCAUGAGGAUUAAUCCCCUGUACUUGUGCGUCCUUCAUUUUUUCUGUUUUGCCCAUCUGUGUGUUUGUCUUUUUGGCUCCAAAUAUUCUUCCUCAGCAUCAAUUUCACGCAUUUUGCCAUCUUAGUAUGUGCCUGAAAUAAGUUAAGAAUAUUAACCAGUGGAGCAGAAACAAAAGAAAGCGUUUAUUGAGGUGAAACUGAUGUUAAUUUAUGGUCUGGUAGACCUGCUUAGUGGAUACACUCUCCAGUGUUUCGGACCAAGCAGGCAGAAAUGUGACUGAAAUAUAAUGAGCAAAAGUUUGCUAAGGUGAUUUGAAUCAAAUGAUCCUUUGUCAGUCAAUCUGUUCUUAUUUAUGUAGCAUCAAAGUAAACCCGGCAUGAACAACACUUGUAGGGCUGUCACAACUGCAAAAGUUAAAUAAGCCAACCACAGAGCCUGGUAAACAAUUGCAUCUCAUCAGCGCUGGGGUUUAUGGUGGCUCUUUAAGGAUAUUUCAGCUCACAGCCAAUUGAAAAUGAGAACUAGCUAAUCUAGGGUGAACAUAUUCUGGCUUCCCAAAAAGAAGACUCGAAAAUGUGGAGGCGGAGUCACAGAGUUGCACAAAGUUAAUUUUGAGAGUUUUUAGGGUUGGAUCCAGUGUCUUUUAAGCGCUUCCAACUCAGUAAGUCUAUGUGACACAAAAUCGAAACUUACGUACAAAACCACAGACAUUUGGAUAAUUUUAUGAACUUCCCCAGACAAACCUGGACAGCCCCCAAAAAAGACGACAUGUCCGGUUAAAAGAGGACGUAUGGUCACCCUAGCUAAUCUGUAUGAGACCAUAUGUAAAUUAAGCACUAAAACGUCCAAGUGACAUAAGGAAACGCAUUGAAUUUAAGGGAAAGUUAUGAUUAGGCUAACAAGUUGAAGAUAUCUCCUGCAGCUCCCUGACAGCUUGAAGUCCGUCAAGCCUUUGCCAAAGUUGCCAAAGACACUGAAAGACAUGGUGGAAUUUUCCACAUUGGAGACACCAACAUUCAGUCAGUGCUCCAGAAAUUUGACGAGAGAUACAAGUUGUUGUUUUUUCUUUUUUUUUUUUUUUGGGCGGGGGCGGCAUCAGCUGCAUAAUCACAGACAUGAUCUCGUUACUACUUAGUAGCUGUGCAGGCCCCCCAUAAAAACUGUUCUUCAGGACUGUGCGCAACAUGCUUACUUGCGCUUCCUUCUUGGGUACUGUAAUAACUGUUGUUCUAAUCUACAUGCAACAUUUUUUUUCCUCAUUCAUGAAAUGCUUAAAUUGGGUAUAUUUCAAAGGGACAGGUCAUCCCAAUUGGGGACUGUCUCUGGAAAUCGGGGACAUCUGGUCACCUUACUCUAUGGAGUAAAUAUAGAAACAGUUGGCUAUGAUCUGUGAGGGCAGGAUUUGGCAGCCUCCUCUUUUUCUGGUCAGCAGCCUUGGCUUAAAUUCUGCUGGUGAUGGUAACUCCAACCUUUUUCAUACUCCAGAUCAUUUAGCUCUUACAAGAACCAGAAUUUCCUGCUAUGAAACAGCUCUCGGAAGCCGUUGUUUAAAGUCGAGUCCUUCGUAUCUGACACAUACUCCCCGCCUUAGCGUAGACACUGUCUGCCGUCACAACGCUGACCUCGAUACCUUGAAACUGCACCUGCAAAUUGGUGAGGAGUUAUCUCCGGUAAGUGGACGGAUUGAGGCGGUGGUAUGGAUGGAAAUACGGAGAGAACAGGCAGAAAAAUGCAGCCUCUGAAAACCAGCAGACCUAAUAGGAAACUGUGAGCUCUUUAAGGUCUGAUAUUUGCUCAUUUGGAGCAUUGUAGUUGAGAGAAAAGACUGUACAUUUUUACAUUUUCCAAGGAUGUGUGUAUAUAUAUAUAUAUAUGGGGCAUAUAUGGGGCAUCUCUAUAUCCUAUAUCCUAUCCUAUAUAUCCAAUAUCCUACAGCAACAGUUUGACCAUUCAGAAGCAGACAGUCUUUCUUCAAAUGUGUAGAGACAAAAAGGUUGUAAUUUAAGCAUGCUAUGUCUGUGUUCACCCUGCACUAAGAGCCCAGUCUAAUGGUGGUAUUUAAGCUCCUGUUGGUGGAGUGUGGAUGACCAACAAUUACCCAGGAGUGAAUCACUGCUUUGCUCAGAGGAGUUUGAUUACUCAGUUUUGCUUAGCUGGUUUGUUUCCACUCUGGUCAAGAGUUCUCAAACUGCAUGUAGGUGGUGAGCUCCUGCUUUAAUAUGCUGUAUAUUCAUCAUAAAUCUUUAUUAUUAAGGGAUGCAGUUAUUAAAAUUAAUCUCAUAACAGUACAUAUCUCCAUGAAACUCAUUUUAGGGAGUCGAGCAAAAAUAAAUCAGUUUCUGUCGAGGAGGAUGAGGAUGUGAGUCAUUCACUUUUCCAUCAAAACACAUUUUUAAAUGAAAAAAAAAGGAGACACUUUGUACAUUACGUGGAAUUAUGUGAGUCUUUCCUCCCCUACUUUUAGGCUAAUUUAUGUAGUUUGCAAUUCCAUUCAAAGAAUGGAAGGAUUAAUUAGCAGCAAAAAGUUGAUAGCUCUCCAUGUUUUCCUCUCUGUCAAAGAACGCCAUCUGCACUGCCUCCCUGAUUAAUGAGCAGGUGGGGUAGGAAACAUUUUCAUCAUAGUGUGCACUGAGGCAAACAAAAAGUGAAUUUACUCGGCACCACAUACUCAAACAACAUCAAGAUUUUUCCUGCUUUUUGUACACAAGAAAUCCAAAUGAUGUUUUUAUCUACACUGAAUAAGUUACAGUUCAGUUUUUAGGGCCUAUAUUUUGUCCCUUUGUGAUGAUGAUGAUGAUAAUACAUAUUUUCCCUUCCUGUCUGAGAGGAGAUGAUGUGGUUUGGCCAACUUAAAGACAACUUCAGCACAUAAUAACCUUUAUUUGGAGCAAUAAUCUCAAGCUCAGUGUGGUGCCAAAAGAACCACAGCAUUUAUGUAGUUUCCUCAGCUGAAAAACUUCCAGAACUUCAAUUCAGAUAAUUUGUUCGGGGGUAAGUACAAAAAGUCAGCUGCCAAUUAAAACAGGUUGCAUCGUUUUCUAUUUUUAUAAGAGAGCUUGUUCAUGCUAAAGUGGGCCGCUGAGUUGCUCUUUAAGACAGACUGCCAGCUGUGUGUAGAUAAAAGCAUUCAAGCAUAUGCGCUUGAUGUUCACUGCUAUAGCUCAACAGUUUGCAAUGAAGUCAUCUAAAGCCAUCCUUAUUUGCAACAGGGAAAUCUGUAGUUAUAUACAGGGAUAAAAGAAAUUAUUAAAGAAAAUGAAUGAUGAGGAAGUUAAUAAUUAAACAGACUGUCUGUCUGUCUGUCUGUCUGUCUGUCUGUCUGUCUGUCUGUCUAUCCAUCCAUCCAUCCAUCCAUCCAUCCAUCCAUCCAUCCAUCCAUCCAUCCAUCCAUCCAUCCAUCCAUCCAUCCAUCCAUCCAUCCAUCUAUCUAUCUAUCUAUCUAUCUAUCUAUCUAUCUAUCUAUCUAUCUAUCUAUCUAUCUAUCUAUCUAUCUAUCUAUCUAUCUAUCUAUCUAUCUAUCUAUCUAUCUAUCUAUCUAUCUAUCUAUCUAUCUAUCUAUCUAUCAUCUCAAGUGUCUAACGUACUGCCUGAUAUCAUGUUUUUUAUAUAAUUCAAUUCAAUUCAACUUUAUUUAUAUGGCACUUUUCAUACAGAAGGAGAUGCAAUUCAAAGUGCCUCACAGAGGCUAAAAACAUCAAUAAAGACAAAAACCCAACCCUUCCACCAAUGGAAAACACAUAAUUUGAUUAUACUUCCAUCGAUUUAACCUGCACAGUCCAAAUUAGGUGUAUUUGAUUUGUCGCUUACGAUAUCCGAAGAAGGAAUUCAUUGAGAAAUCAUAAAAUAUUGGGUUUACUAAAAAGGCAGUUUUGGAAUAUGACAAAUAUUCCCUGAUUGGUAGGAUUUAGGUAAGAAUUCAGUACUCGUGUGAUCGGACGAAGGACCGGCAACAGCGGUAGCAGCCACUGCUAACAUUAUUUAUACUCUUUUGACGUCACAGAUGAGACCCAGUUUUCAUUCUGCAACCACCCUGUAAAUGCAACUAACCUUGUAUUUUCAAGGUCAAAUGAUUAUGUUAUGUAAAUUACCGACUGAACUGGAUACUCGGUUUUACUUAACAGAAUUACUUCAGUGCGUGCACAGCUGGAGAUGGAAUAUAUGAUCCUUAAAUUAACUAAACAGAGUUGCACUCCAUUAAUAUAUACAAAUAAAGCCUUCCUAAUUGAUACAGCACAGGUGUUUGUUAGUCAGCAAGGCUUCACGCAAUAAGUUAGGGGCUUGGUUGUUAAUUACCUCAGGGAUUUGCUCAUUUACAUUCUACCGCUAAAAGUCUCACGUUGAUACCAGGAAAUGUGUGUUUGUGUGUGUGUGUGUCUUUGUGUAAGAUCGUACGUACUGUAUGCUGUAAAGUGGGUUGAUUAGGGUAUGGGUAAAGAAUCAAUAGAGAUUUAAUGGGAAACAGGAUGUCCUCAGGUAAAAUUCAGGUGAAAAUACUGCAUGAAAUUCGAUCCACAGGAUUAUUUUAUGCAGGCUGGUUGGAGGAAGGAGAAAAAUGUUAGGAUAGGCACUCCAUCUUGGCCCUCAUGUACACUUCUAUUCUUGAAGGUCAGAAAGCUUGUUAUAGUAGACAAACAUUAAGGCGUCCAGUUGUGCUGCUUUCUCAUUAAUCUUGUUUUCAUUGAGGGCAAAACUUUUGAAAGGGUCUGAAUGUACCGACGUACUGUAUAUCAAAAGUCCCAUGUCCUCUGAUGUUGGAAUGCACAAGGUAAAAAGUCUAUAAACCAUAGCUGUUCAUCCGUUAUUAAUCUGUGAUCGGUCAAACUGUGUUAAUAAAACUCCUCUUUUCUCAACUUUUCUAUCAAUGCAGGUACAUUAUUAAAUGGUGCAUCAUGGAGCAAGGGCAAAAGUUUUCAAGCCAUCCUUGGAGGAAACUUUCAAAUUAUACUCUGCAGCUGAUACCUGGAACAUAAUUCAACCCUUACAUUCCUAAAUGUGAACUCAUAUAUUGAAUAAUAGGAAUGCAUUAAACAAAUCCCAACAAGGGCUGUCAGCAAAGACAAGUUAAUCACGAUGCAAUCAAGGUCUAACAUUAACGUGUUAAAUUAAUGCUGUCACAUCAAUCGAGGCUCAGGGACUGUCAGUGAGUUAUCAAAGUUAUCUAGGAAUAACUGCACACUUUAUAAAUAAUGAUCACACAUUUUGUGAUGAACUCAGGUCUAAAUGUGUUGCAGUUUCAUUCUUUGACUAAAAUGUAACUCUGUAGAUGUCGCCGAACUCUAAGUCAUGGCUUCUGACCAAAAUGAGAGUGGCAGCGCAGCUUUUAUAGAAAUAAUAGAUCUAAAAGUUAAGAUCAAAAAGUAAAUUUUAUUGCAUUAAUUUUGACCCCUCCAUGAAUAAAUAAAACAACUGAGAUUUGCUUUAUAGGAGGUUUGAAAAUGCAUAAUUCCAUUUUAUGACCCAUCGCCACCACCCGAAGGACAUUUGUAAUCCCAAUUUGUGAAAUUUGUCUUUAAUUUUGGGUGAUGACCAGCUUUGAGCUGCAUUAUUGCCACCUCCUGUGUUGCACUCAUAGACUGUAUAUAGAAUGGACGCCGUCUGCCUCCCUGCCGAGAACAGCAAACUCUGUUGACGGGCUGCAGUAUGGGUCAUAAAUCCCGCCUCUGCCAGCAAAGCUUAUGGAGCUGUGUACAAAAUUUAGAAAUUAAUUACACAGAACAUAAAUUCUUCCCCCCCGGUUGCGAUGUUGACAUGUAGUUAUUGUAAGACUGGUUUGUGCCCAAGUCCUUUUUUUUCUGUGAAGCUCUGUUUUUAAAAGUUAUUGGGGGGUUCAUGUUUUCUAUGAUUGACACCUUAUACAGCCUAUGGGCGUACGAAGAUUGUGUAGCUCACCCGGGGGAAUAUGCUGUUUGAGCCUAGCGUCAUCACGGCGACUCUCCUGCUGAAUGUGUACAACGCUACUGCGCAAUGUUGGUUUCAGGAAAUGAAGAAAAAUCGCGGAAUUACUGAGAGCUUUUUGCCUUUAAAUCCGUAAACUGGCAGAAGGCAGAACCAAGUUGUCCAUAGUAUAUACAGUCUAUGGUUGCACUCUGACCAUCUCACUACUGAACAUGCACAUCAUGCCAUAAUGAUGAAAGCCAAGACAAACUUGUUCUUACUUAUUCAAGAACCACUAGAAAUGUCUUUGUGACCCACUUAUGGUUCCUACUUCAACAGUUGACAACCAGAGCUGUUGAGCAGGCUGUCUGCUUUUCAUGUAACAGUUUUUGCUCAAAAGUGAAACACGUUCACCUUUGACUACCAUCGAAUUCUGUUCAACAGUUUUGCCAAAGCAAAACCCCCACUCCUCUAAGGAUAAUUUUCCACCCCAACAAAAACACCAACUCAACAUUGAAUUUGUUUUUCACAAACAAGCUUUUUUACAUGCCAGAGGAAUACCGCUGCUCAUACUAUUAUACCGGUUUGUGCAUGCACAGAUGCAUUAUUAAUGAGGAUAAGUCUGAACUGGACGACGAAGAGUUUUUAAUUGUGUAAACUAACAAUUACACUUGAAAUGUUGCAGAUUUUUGAUAUUCAAGCAGCAUAGUUGAAAAAAAAAAAUGUUGCAGAGCAUUUACUUUCCUGGAGUGUAGGAUUAACAUGCAGCACUUCACACGUACCAUAUUUCAGUCACAUUUUAAUUGCUCUGCAUUAAUUGAAUAUUCCGAGUGAACAGUACAUUUGCAUAGAUUUCACAUGCAAGUGUGACCCGCUGUUAUGUAGUGCAGUGCAAAGGUUUCCUCUCAGUGAUAUGAUGUGAAUACAGUAUGCAGUUGGAGGCAGCUGCAGCAGAUGAAUAUACUGCAGGCUGACAGCUUUAAGUGUGUGCCAAGGCCAAGAUGGGUUUAAGUUCAUGUCUGUGGUGUUUGUAUUGAAUAUGGUGUAGGUUUUAACUAAAGAGGAGAAGGUUUUUUAUUGUUAACGUUAUCAAAGACAGCUGGAUUAAACUUGUAGUGGGCAGUUAUAGAUGCGCAAUUCCAUUACAAACUUUUUAAUUGUUGUGACGAUGUAUUCAAAAAGUCAUACAUCCUUUUUGUUUGACAUUUAAGAGCUUUUUGUUGCUCUCUCUCUCUUGAUCUUGAGUUGACAAUCAUAGAGGACCACUUCUAUGACUAAACAUUGCUGUGUUUAAUUUAUAAAAACACUCAGACAUUGCUUGGUUCUGAAAUCCAUUUCCCACAUCUCCUCUUUUUUUCCCCCGUUAUUUCCUCUGGGCAACUGAGGCCAUUUUGCUGUCCACAGCACAUUCCCCUGAAAAUACCUCUGGGGAUCCUUUUCUCAGUGGCAAUGCUAUCACUUCUAUCAUCAGUCCCCUGAGUGCCACUGAGCUGUACCUGUCCUGGCAUGCAGGACUGCACUGCAAUUCAAUGGCAAAGCAGCACUUGCUGUAAGGGAUGUCUAAUGAGAAUGUAUGGGACUUAUAUGUUCAGGUGGGAUAAAAAAAACAAAUAAUGAUAGAGAGGAAAUAUUUCAGCAGGUAAACCAGAGAGAAGUUGCUUGAAGUAAUUUUUUUCUGGCAUUUAGCAAAGUAAAAAAAAAGAAAACAGUAACCAGUGAAAUAUUACGCAUGGAUGGCACAUUUAACACUUUCCAGAAUAUUCACUGUCUAUUGCAGGUGGAAAUGUAUUUCAUGGGUUUAUACAAUUCCCAGGUCUGAAAUACAUUCAAACUUUUACCUGUGUGUCAUUAUUACCAAUAUACUUUCUCCUGCAAUACUUGUGCAAGCUGACACUUUGUAAUUACGUACUCUAACCAAGAUGUGAGAGUCUUCAAUAUUUAGUAUUUAAACACUUCAACGGUGCCAGACAAAGGGAGAAAAAUGGACAAAGUGAAUGUGGAUGUGAAAAGAAAACAGGACAUUCAAUCAUGGAGUCCUGUUUUUCUUCACACGAGUAUGAAGCUUAUCAAUGUACCAAGAAAAUUGUGUGUACUAUUAGACAGAAGCUAUCAAGAUAUCAGGGUGAGCUGCCCAAGAAGUUUCAUAUGCAGGAAAAACACAAUUAGUUUAAUGUUAUAUAUAUACAUACCUUAUUUCAGUUUAUCACCUUGAUGGGAAAUUUUACAAUGCAUCAGUAUCAACGAUAUCUAACAUUUUGUAUGUCUCUCUCACAGUUUAAUUUCCACUUUUUGCCAUUUAUAGGUGCACAUAAAGUAUUUCAUUAACUUUGCUAUAGGCUACCUUGGGGACCAAUUUGUGUUAAGUGUAAGACAACACACAUAGAUAUCUUUGUGUAUUUAAAGAAACUUUUAUUUGUGUACACUUUGGCAUCCCCUGUGAAAUACAACGCCAAAGCAGUAUUUCCUGAGAAAAUGUCUCGUCUUGUUUCUUUUGACUGUGAAAUUUGUCACUCAUUGUGAAUAUUUGCAUCCGAAAACAGAAUGAAAAGCGGUUUCUUCAGCUUGUUGUCAAUCACCCAGUUUGACGCCAACCCUUUUGUAACUGUAACAGGCAUUCAAAUUACUAUAUAAAAAUGUUCAGUGUUGCUAAUUGUCCCAUUUGGCAUCACAAUCUUUCAGACCGUUUUACAACCACUAAAAGCUACUCACAAAGGUUUUAAUAAGAUAGGUUGAAGGCUCAUGAGUCAUACUAAAUGGGUUCUUCUUUUUCUACAUAUUAAAUUGUACUACCACAAAAUAUACUGGUUUGUGGGUGAAGUUUUGAUUUUAGGUUUUAAGUGAGUCUGGAGAAAAAAAGGAAAACAAAUUUUUGAAGACCAACCACUGGUUAAAAAUCCCCUGCUCUAAUUUUUGUUAGAUAUUCAUAAAAACUACGAAUGGAGAAAAAAAAGUCAAAUUAAAGACAGAAACAGGAGCACAGAUGGCUUGUUACAGUUUGAGCAGAUGGAUUAGUUCUGUGUUUCUUUGACUGCUUUGAGAAAACGUGACGAUACACACAGCAGCAAAAAACCCUCAUUUAAGCGCCGUUGUUGGGGGGCUCAGGGUCAAUGAUAUCCUCACACACUUGCACACAAUUAGUUGCACCGAUUGAAUGCCGUUUUUAUUCUCUUCAAGGAUCAAUACAUUUUUCUAGUAUCUGAGAAAAUAUAAUUGAAGUGGAGUUUUUUCAUCCAGGAAUGCAGCGAAGUGAACAACCUCUAACCUUGUCUGUUUUCAGGGUGACAGAGUAAGACAAUACAGUUGUCAAAGGAGGAAAUAAUGGACUGUUCCUUUUCUUAUUGAGACAUAUAUACACCUCUCAGGUAUGCUGGGCUUACUCAUGAAGAUAUAACAGUGUGACUCACAUUUUGAACCAAUAAGGACCCAUCUCUGCACUAUAUAUGUCACUUAUUGUGGCUUGAAAAAGGUAUCAAUUUUACAGUAAAGUUAAAGAGAUAGUCUGUAGAGUUUUUCCAAACAGACUGGAGAGAACUUCUUUAUGACAAUCACAUUUUAGGUGUAUAAUACCCUAAAUGUUAAAAUGUUUGUUGUUUUUGUCAAUGAACCCUUUUAUAUCUCUAUAUCAGUGCUAAUUUUGGCAGCUAUUUUAGAUUAAGUCUUUGUUUUAAACUAGAAGAGUGAUCAUCACUCUGAAUCAAACAUUUUUAUGGAGUCAUUACAGAAAUAUUUAUUUUCCUUAACAUUUUUUUAUAGGGUGGGUGUAGAGGAUUUUGGCCUAACCCCUUUCAAUCCCAAACCCCAAGACAUACCCCUGAACAGCGAGUCAGUCCACUGCUCUCUCAGCAGCUUCUCAAUCUUCAGUGAUUUACGUGUAUCACUGCCAAAUGUCAUGUUAAUUGGACUCUAUGCACAGCUCCACUACUUCCUGAACUUAAGGCAGCUCCUUUAUUUCCUGUCUUACAUUAUUGGACAAACUGAUUAAUCCAGGUGUGACUGAUCAUUGUGACUACUCAAGACAGGAAAUAAAGGAGCUGCUUUAAGUUUAGGAAGCAGUGAAGCUGUGCAGAGAGUAAGGCUGCACAAUUUUGGAGAAAACUAACCUUGCAAUUUUUUUUCAACCCUGCGAUUUAAAUUGUGAUAUUGAAAAAUACAGGAAUUUUCACCAGAUGACCUUCAUAGCACUUUACGCUGUGCUGCACUGCUGAAAUCUUGUGGACAAUUAACCUGCACUGAUCUUACCUCUUUUUGUGAAAGUUUGUGGAAUGGCUUCUGUCUGUCUCAGAGAUAUUUUUAGCUUUUAUUGUGCUGGGAUGUUAUUGAUCGGCAUCAUCCUUCUUGUAAAUGAAAUAAUUCCAGUUAACUUAAGUUCCUUUUCUAUUUGGCAACAAGUCUUCAUUUUCAGUGGUUUUCUCUUGUUCGUUGCUCAUCUUGCAAUUGUUGUUGUUGUUGAUAUCGGUGUUGUGCCGAGAAAUGCAUGCCUGCCGAGAAUUGCGUGCAUCUAGGAAAACGUGCACCACUUAUAUUAGAGUGGUCCACAAAAAUCUACAAUUUAAAACCCAUAUAAUUCUUAUUUGUGAGGCUAAACAGUGAUAAGUAAUGUUCUGAAAGUAAUUCUCGGUGGGCAUGCGUUUCUUGGCGCAACACUGGCAGCGCCAGUGACUCACUUCAUGCGCAGGCCAUGUGCAGGGGCGUGGUUUCCUCUUCUUUGAUUUUGAUUGACAGCUGGCUGGGUAGUCUGGUUGGCAGCUGAGUAAAGAGCGAAUAUGAUUGGUGGAUCGCUGCUUAGCACUCAGGGUCACAUGUAGUGUAUCUCAGUCAGCUACCCAUAAAAUUAGAUGAGUUGAUUCGCUUCCUACAUCGCACGUUCUGCUAUGUGACCAUUGCGCACAUGCACAUCGCGAUGACGAUGCUCAAACGAUAAAUCAUGCAGCCCUAGUUUCAAUUGUAGGAAACUAUACUGUACAUGAUGGACUAUAUGUAGUAUGCAUCACUUGUUUCUUGUGUUUAAAGGACAGCAGUACUUCACAGUUUAAGCAGGAGAACAAAUUCGUCUUGAAUCUUACUGCUAAGUAUCUUUAAAUAUUCCCAUUUCCACACACUGUACCUUUGAAUAAUUGUGAGCACGCCCAGUACACACAGCAAUUUGAUGCAUGACUGUCUGAGUAGAGAGAAAAGUUUCAGAAGCGUGCACUUUCUCAUACAGGCAUGAUUUGCUGUUUUGAGGCUUCAGACAGCUGGCAGGUUGGACAGAUUGUUCAGUCCUAUACAGUUCUGUAGAAGUACAUCGCUCUGAAUCUUCCAACCUCAGUCAACACAGUUUUUAGCAGUUGCCAUAGAAAAUGACAAACUAUCAGAGAAACAUCUGUUUUUGCUAACUAGGAAACAAAAUGUCAAGGCAUGUGCACGUGGCAAUGUAGAGAAAGGAGGGUGUAUAUGAAGGAGGGAGAUUUCAUAGAAGCAGGUGCUGGUGAUACAAUUGCAAUCAAAGUUACUUCUGUUUUGCCAGCUCUGGGUGUCAGACUCGCUUUUGUGUGUACCGCUCUUCCUGGAUGUCUAUUGUGUCAAAUAAUGUAUAUGCAAGACAGAAGUGUUGCAGAGAAAAGGCCAAAACAUUUACUGACAUUAAGCACCACUUCUAUAAAUGGAUAAAUCUGCAGGCUACAUACAUAUUCUGCCAAUUAACGGAAGUGGAGUCAACGCUCACAGGCUCAGAAAAGGCCAAAACAUUUUUAGUCUUGUGGGUAUUAGCUGUGUCAGGCUGGCUGCUGCCUGUUAAGCUAAAAGAGUUUAACUUCGAGCUUUUAAAACCUUCAUUAGAAGUCAUUGUCAAAUGUAAAUGGAAGUGUUUCCUCAAAGAAACAAAAAUCCAACAGUUUCAAGCCACAAUGACUGAGUUAAUUUAGGGUUUUUCUGCACUUGUGAUAAAACUGAAGCUCUGACAAAGGACUGAAUUCUGUAGAGACUAGAAAACUCUGAUAAUGAACAGUCUGAUCUCAGUCAGCUAUCUGGAUGCCACCCCCAUCUUAACUAGAAACACUCUGCUAGUUUCUUCUUCUACUUUCAGUCUGCUGGAAAUGUUUAAACCCAGUAUAUUUCAGGUUUUUUUAAAUUCACCAUCCCUGGAUAGACAUGAGAUUAAGGUUACUCAACGUGUGUUGAAGAGAUGCUAAUGCAUAGUAAUACUAGAAGUAUAUUUAUAUUAUUUAUAUGGGGAAAAAUGAUUUUCAGGAAUAACAUGAGCUAAAAGGGAAUAGUUCAAGUGGUUUACAUCUUGCAUUUGAAUGUAACUGACUAGAUCAGUCUGAAUACCUCAGAUAAAAAGAAUAGUUUCUUUUUUCUGUUGCUUUCUUGUUUUCUUGAAAGAAAACCAGGUGGCAAUAAACUUCAAUUUCUGGACAAACACUGCCUGGAUGUAGCCUUGGGGAAAAACAUGAGACUGCUGGCCAUAUAGUUGCAGUGCUGAGGUGAGCCACUAAUGUCUGUAUCAUACCAUUGCCUUGGCUUUGCCCUUGCCCCAAGGUAAAGACAGGUGAAGCACAAAAUCUGCAGUCACAUGCACUCCAUCUGAGAUGUUGGAGUUUGGAGCGUUUUAAUCUGCUCAGUUCCCGUGUCAUUUUGUUAUAUCCUUUAUGUGAAAAAUACAUUUACUAAAUCUAUUGCCAAGAAAAGUUGAACAUGUAUUUUUUUGUUAAGUUUGCAGAAAUGGCCAAACACAUGCAGAAAUAGUUGUUGUUAAAUUCCAAAAAAUAUUAAGCCUGAACAUUGAAUCAAGCCAUUCAUGCCAUCAAGCAUGUACAAUGACUUCAUAUGAGUGGAUUUACCUCCUUUGUUCACCUGGUAAAGGCAGCAGCAGGGCUUCCAUUAUCAAGUGAUGGGGGUUGGCUUGCACACAACCCAAGGCAUCAAUCUCUGGCUCCCUGUGGUGUACAGGCUGCAAUCUUUUGCUUGAAGGACCCAAGUGUAAGUAAGUGAACUACCACGUCAACUCCAAAUGCUUGGGCCAAACACCCGCUGAGCCUCAACCAGGAUUACGGGAACCAACCCCAGAAGCUAUUUAGCCUGAGUGGAAGCUCUGCGGCAUUAAAUAGGGUCAAGAAUCAUGGUUGGAUGUCGCUCCCAAUGAAAUUUUACAUUUCGCAGAGCUUCUACUUUGCUUUGUAAUUGUUCAGCUGGCAAACAUAGUGUUGCUGUUAUUCUGAAGCAGACGCUGUUCUUUAGCCGGAAAAUGAGAGGACCUUUUCUGUGUUUUUGCAAUCUGAUCAGUUCUAGAUAUUGAAAUGUCAACAAACCACUUCUCUGGCACAUUCUGACAUACUCCCGAACACAAAAGCAAAGAAGACAAAAGAAAAGCCUGUUCUGCCCAUUAUACAGCGGUCAUACUAUAAUUCCAUAUGCUUGUUUGUAGUACAAUGGUGCCCAGUAAUUGCUCUUCACAUGUGGAUGUUGUCAGACGGACAGUCAGUGGAGUUUUUUGCCACACACUCAAUUUAGUGUUGCUCUCUUUAUUGCCUCUGAAGUUGAUUGUUAAAGUCCAUGUAUCUGACUCCAAAGGUUUUCUUUCCAAGCCAGAACUGAGAAAACAGCAAAUGCAGCCGAGAAAAGACUCAUAUGGAAUUGACAAUGAUUUGACGCACUGCCUGUGUUGAUGGAUGGGAGAUAUUUAGCUGAUAAGAAGUCAGUGUUGGUCGUUCAAAGCCAUGGACAAGACCACCUCUUGGGGCUGUUGGUGUUAGUUCAUGACAAAGGACUCUGUUUCCACCCGUGGGCUGCCAUUGUUUUCAAACCCAAACAGUAUUAAUAGUGUUGGAGAUAAAAGCAUGCAUUAUUGACUACUUUGCAUGCACAUGUCUAUUUCUAUAGAUUAACUAUAGGGGCAAGUUGUUGUCUUGGAACCAGGAAGUUGAUUGUGUUGCGGGUGAUUGCAUCACUACUUUUUCUCUUCACACAGACUUUCUCUCUGCACACAAUCACAUACUUGAAGACAAUGCUACUCUGGACUUCAAACAGCAAUCAGGAUGCUUCUGACACUGGUAUUUUCUGAGUUUUCCUUAUAAUACACAUAUGUCCAAGCAUUAAUGCAUCAGUGGCAUCUAAUUCCAAACACUUGAGCACAAAGCACACAUUGAAAUUGCUCAAGUGGUAUGAACAUGCAUGGCACAUAUUGUUUGUUAACUGAAACCAGCAACAUCAGUUGCAUGAAUAAAAAGGCAAUUACUGCUCUCACACUUACUCUGGCGGCUUGGCCCAGUCAACUGCUUUGUAUGUUGUUCAGGUCUAAAAGAAAGCACUGGGCAUGGAGGCACUGUUGUAAAAUUUGGAGAGGACAUUGAUAAAGGCUGAGGUUUGAGCUACCAAUUUCAGAACUGAAAGGAACAUUUACUCCAGUCUCUCUAAGAAAAAGACUUAGAGAGGAGUGGAUUAGGAGGCCAUGCCAGAGGCCUCUAUUUUGAAAAUGAUGCAAGACUGGAACAUGGAGUAUGAAGUGGAAAUAUCAAACGGCAAACCUCUACACUUACUUUUCUUCGCUAAAGGUCUAAAGUUUUUUGAUUGGAAAUAUUAAAGUGUGCACUGGAGCUGAGGUCAUACACAGAAACAGAAUCAUUUAAUAAUUCAAGAUUGCUUGCACCAUUGAAGUUGAAACCGUAAAUCACCACAUAAAUCACAAGCACAGAUUCAGACAUAAUUCAUUGGAGACGUGUUUGGGUUUUAUAGCAUUUUACAAGAUCAACACUGAGCCUAAAAGUUGUUGUGUCCCAGGACAUACCCUCAACACAAGGGUAAACAGAUUUUCAAGUUUUCACACUUCCGAAACCCCCAAACAAAGCCUGAGAGAGGAGCUCUCUGUCUUCAAACCAUCAGAUGUGAGGAUGCCUCAGGCAAACAGAGGGUCCCCACUUCAUCACACACCUAGUGUAAUGUGCGAACCAAGCGCUCCAUAACAAGAAAGAAUAAAUCGGAGAUGUGUGUUUGACUGUUUGGUGGUUUGUGUCUGAGAAGAAAAAGCUACCAGGGCUUUUCAUAAUACUGUCAGAAAGUGAUGGCUUAUCCGCCGUCUCUCUUUUAAUGUCAAGACAUAACAGUUGAACUAAGAGUCAACAGCGGGUUGUACACAAUGUUUCUGCUGCUGUUAUGAGUGCCUGUCUGUCUUUAACUACACAGUGUCUGCAGCUAUUGUGACUCUCUUUUAGGAGCAGUGUUUGUGCAGUUGGCUGUUAAUGAUAUAAUAAAUUGCCUGGAUGAUUACUCGAGUAUGAACAGAUGUCUGGAUGUGACACCUCUGUCUACCAGGUGUUACCCAACAGUUGGCAGAGAUUACCGGUAAGGACCAGAUCAGUUUAUGCGCAGUGUUGUCCAAAAUGCAAUGGCUGAUGCACUCCAAUACAGCUCUUUUAUUCUCUCUCUGUUUGGUGAGAUGCAUGACGGCAUCAGUGGACGUGGCACACAUCGCACUAUGCCAAUGUCCUGCAAGAGACCUUUGAUAGCAUAGGAGAAACACUGAUGCGCUGCAGCCGUGUUUACAGUGUUUGUGUAUUCAUUUUAUAUCAUUUGUUGCCUCUCUUAUUCAAGAGAAGGUUGUUAUAAGCUGUAUAGAUGCAUUUAUAAGGCUUGAUAACUGUGCUUAUGAUCCUUAUAAGAGGUGGGUUUAUAUAAAGUGUUAAUUUACACAUAUUUACAAAGUGAAAUUUUUUCUUUGUCAAAUAUUGUGCACACUUUUUCUUUAGAAUGUAGUUUUCACUACAACCAUGCAAAGUUCAACUCUGGGUUAGUACAAAUGCACAUGCAUAUACCAGCCCUUAGAUCAAAUCCCGUAAUUUUUUUUCCCAAGUAGAAUAAGGUAGACGUUCAUGACUGAAAAUCCGAGCAGGAGUCGUGUCAUGUCCUCUCCCUGCAGCAAUGGCUGCAGUCUGAUGUGUAAAAUAGAACGGAGGCACACAGGCCGUCCAUGUCAAACAAAGAUGAUCCUGACAUCUGCAGUUCAGCAGUCUUGCUCUGACCCCUGCUUCUGCCUGUCCCUAUAUCGCAAGCCUCUUCGACACCUGUCCAGAUUUAAUAUUUUGCAGUGUGUGAGAGGCAGUUUUACAGCCACAUCCACAUCACUGCUGCUGGACGUGAUUGCAAUGCUAAGAAAUAACAGCUGAGAAAAAGAUAAGUGUUAGGAAAACAGUUGUGAGUAUUUGUGUGAAUCGUUUUCUGUGUUCACUAAAGAAGCUUCUUUCCUUCAGUUUGACCCAGGCUGAUCUUAUUAAAUACUUGUUACUCCACUAUUAGAAGACCCAAACACCCAAUCGGUCAGUGCUGGGCAUACACUGUGUGUCUAUGGUUGAUAGGCCACGGUUCACUGUACCCAUUUCAAGCAAGCUGCUGUAGUGUAAUACACAUGUUCCUAAUCCUGGUCCCUUCCAUCUAAUCUACUUUCUGCCAGACACCUCUGUGAUCAAUGGUUUGUUUAUUUGCCUGUGUAAUAAGCAAAUUAUGCUAAGCAGGAGAAGUCACCUCUAGCAUUAACCUGCUUACAUUUUAAUCAAUGACUUAAGUGAUUUUUAUCAGGAUGCCACAGGCAAUGAGGUGAUGGAGCCAGUUACAGUGUAGAGUCUGUCCAAUUUAAUGUUGAAGAGCCUAUGUUGUUAUUAAGUGUUUCUCACAGAAAAAGCCACUUUUUCCUGCAGUCACUCAUCCAAGCAGCAUUCAUCAUAUUUGCUAUUAAUGGUCCAUUUAUUACAGCCACUGCAAACUGAGCAGAGCUAUAGUUCUUACUUAAAUCUGUUUUUGAUUGGGUUAUUUCUGUUUGAUAAACUUCACUUCUUUUUCUACAAUAGUGUAAUUAUACAUAAUUGUAAUAGUUGCACAAAAAAUGCAAAUAUAACCCAUAAAGACAUGCAAACAGUCCCUUUUCUCCUUCUCUAUUAUUCCACGCAGAGUAAGGUUCAACAAGCUUGUACAGUAAUUGCACAUACCAAGCUCUCAUUCAUAAAGUAAUCAGCCGUCACUGUAAUUAUGCUGCUGUAGGAUAUUUACGUGAUUGUAACCCUUUCUUUCUAUUAUAGUAAUUACCUGUUAUCAUUUGAAGUGAUCGCUGACACUGCUACCAUCAUCGUCCUCCACCAUCUGUUUCAUUAUACUACAUCAAAAUAGAUAUAACCUAUGUACAAGACUGUUGAUGCAGAAUUUGCCUACUUAUUUUAAUCCUAAAAGUUUAUGAAGACUGAAGUUGAUUCGUAGGCCCACAUUGCGUAAUACUUGUUAGUUUUUGUCUCAGGUUUGUUGGAGAGCUGGGAACUUAUGACCGUUACUUGGCAGAAAUGUGAGAGCAAGCCCUAACUAACUCCGAGAGCAAAAUCCUGUCCUGCAAUCCGGGCAACGGCUGCAGUGCAAGUUGAUGCAUCUCAAAUGUGCCUAUUGCCGCAAAGUAACCUCAGCUGUGAGCAGAAGUAGGCAGAAGGGCGGCAGUAGCUCAGGAGGUAGAGCGGUCGUCCAAUGACCGGAAGGUUGGCGGUUCGAUUCCCCCCUAAUCCAAGUCUGUCCGUUGUGUCCUUGGGCAAGACACUUAACCCACCUUGCUCCCAGUGUGUGUCCUCCACUGGUGUAUGAUUGUGAGUGUUGUGUGGUGGUGGUCGGAGAGGCCGUAGGUGCAGAAUGGCAGCCACGUUUCCACCACCACCAAAGUGUGACUGUGUGAGCGAAUGAAUGAUGUAUCCAAUGUAAAGCGCUUUGAGGGUCUCUGAUAAAGCGCUAUAUGAAAUCUGAUGCAUUAUUAUUA
rnacentral:lncRNA from 1 species